UUUUUUUUUUUUUUUUUUUUUUUUUUUUUAGUCAUAGCAAGGAUUAUCAAAAAUUAUGAAUCAAUUUACUAAUUUCACCUGAUACUACCUCCAAUUGUUUUCUUGGAAGUUUUAGCAACAAAAAAUAUAUGACAAAUCAUAAAUGUUUGAAAGAUGUUCCUUUACAUCAUGUUGUUACAUGUAAAAUAUUUUUAUAUGUUGGUGGAAACAAUUGUGGUUGUUUUAUCAACUCAACAACCAAAUCAAUACUUAAUGAAUUUGGCCCAAGCUCCUUCUUUAUUAUUAUUUUUCUUAACUUUAGCUUUUGAAAAUUCUACUACUCCGUCUAUAAGAAAUUACAUGUCAAUGCAAGUGAGGACCUACUUGUCUACUUCUAUAGCCUCCCCUCCCCUCUCUUUUCAUGUCUCUAGCUUGGUCAUUCACAUCUAUAUUGCUAUUAAACAAUAGUUGACUAAUUGAAAUACCAAACAAAAUAAUAUUAAAAUUCCUCCUAAAAACUAACCAAUUAUUUUUAUUAAGGUAAUUCUUAAUAGCACAUCAUAUCAUUCAAACUUAUUUGUAUGUUUUAAACUAAAAAAUUUAAUUUGAAUAACAUAACUUCUAAUUUUUAUUUAACUAAUUCUUUUCUAAUCUAUAACAACUUGAGGUCCUUGGAAAAAUUUCAAUGACUUUUUUAUUUGCUAACAUAUAUUUAGAGCCAAAAUGGAGCCAAUUUUUGUUUUUAAAUAUUUUUUAUUUUAAUCUUCCUUUAAAAUUCUUAAAUUUCUUUAUGCUUGGAAAUAGUCAAUCUAAUAAUAAUAAUAAUAAUAUUAUUAUUAUUAUUAUUAUUAUUAUUAUAUAAUCUAAUUUCUUUUGUUUAGUUAUACAUGAAUUAAUUUUAUUUUAAAUAGCUUUUUUUGGGUUCAUAUUUAAAAUAAUAAAUAAAAAUAUUUUAAAUAUAUAUAUAACAUUGAUAAGUUAUAAAUAAUAAUUAUAAAAUUUAGAGAUAAAUAUGAUUUGUGUAAAUAAAACAUUAUAAUUUGGUAAAAAGAAGAAUUUAUGAAAAUUAAAUUAUAUUUUCUUUUUUUUUCAAGAUUAAUUAUAAAAUAAGAAGUUAUAUUAGUAAUAAAUAAUUUUAAAAAUUAAAAUUAGCUGUUGUUGAAGUAUAAUUCUAUUACUGUUUUGUAUGCAUAUUUUCAUUUACAAAGAUAGUUUUGAAUUUUUUACUUGGUUGAAGAUUCAAAUUCUAUUGUGCUUGUAAUUUAUUAUUAUGCUAAUAAGACUCUUUAAAUUUUUAGUUUUUUCGUAGUACGAAAUUUACUGAUAUAAUAUAUUUUAAUAAAAACUUAUUGAAAUAUAAUUAAUAAAAAUGUCACUUUCAAAAUAAAAGAUUUAUAAUAUUGAUUUAGAAUAUUGAAAAUAAGAUUAGAUUAAAGAAAUUUGUAAAGUUUUCUAAUUUAUUUAGUAUAAGUUUUUAAGCCAAACUAUUAAUUUCCAUUUUUAUUCUUAUUUUUAAAGUGAUUAUUUUUUUAAUUUCAAAUAUUUAUUUUAAAACUUCUAUCUAAUUUAGUUUUUUGAUUAGUAUAAUAUAAUUUUAUACUUCAAAAUAUCGAUUUAAAAUGAUUUUAAUAUCACAUGCAAUUUUUAUAAAAAAUAUUGAAUUAAUAAAUACAUCUUUUUUUAGAUAAAUACCAUCUUUUGAUACCUAUCGGUUCUUAAUAGAACCUCUACCUUUCACAAGCAAAUAUAUGCUAUUUUAUAAUUCUAAUUAAUUUUUUAAUAUUUUACAUAGUCUAGUAGAUUUUUUUAAAUAAACAUAAAUUUAAUUAAUAUUUCAUGAAUUAUUCUCUUUGAUGCAUGUCUUUUGAAUUUAUUAAUAUAGACUCAUAUUUUGAAUUCAAAAGUCUCAUCUAUUUACUAUAAAAAUAUCGUAUUAUUAAAAUAAAAAUAUGUAACUAUAUAGAUAUUAAUUAAUAUUUUUAUUAUUAUAUUAUAAUUUUUAAAUUUCAUAAAAAUAUAAUACAAUAUACAAGAAAAUCUUCAUUUUUUCUUAUGUCUACAUGCAAAUCUUCAUUUGUUUUUUUUGUUUGUUUGUUUGUUUCUUUUUGUCUUUUUUCUUUUUUCAUCUAAGAUUUUAAGGCUAAAAUAUGGAUAUUGAAAUAGUAUAAUUUAGUUUAGAUUUUACAUUGAAGGCAGAAGCUAGUAAUAAAAUGAGGUCAUAAAACAUUUUGAGCAAAGAGUAAUUGUUUCUCCCAAAAUUUAACAAUGUUAUAGAUUUUACAUUUUCCAACUGAAAUACAGGCUCUUAUAGUUAUUCCAACACCCAAGGCUCACACGUCUUUUUUCUUUCUUUCUUUUUAAUUUUCUGUUAAUAUUAUCUUUAUUUCUUAUUAAAUGAAUACCAUGUUAGAAAAAAAUGAAAAACUUUGUAUGAAACUUAGUUCUUUUUAUUUUUACAACAUAAGUCCUUUUACAUAAUCUCUUCUAAUCUUCUUUCUAAUAUAUACUAAACAUCUAUAUUAGUGAUGUUACUUUGCUGAUUUGUACUUUUAAUCAUUUUUUUAUUUAUUUUCUUCAAGAUUACUUUUUUAAAAAUUUUCCACAAAACCUCUAUCUUUUAUACCUAUGUAACAUCAUUAUGUUCUAUAAGAUCAUUAAUUAAAAACUAAAUGACUCUCAAAUAGCAUCACAAAUACAAAAAAAAUAAUAUUACCUAAUUUUCACAUUAUUACCUUUAAACUUCUAUGGAUAUUAUAUUUAAAAAAAUACAUAAAAAUUUAAUGUAAAUUAUUAUAUAUAUUUGCAAUUUUAUGCACAAACUUGAAGAUACAAUCGAUGAUACAAAAUAUUUGUAAUUAUCUUAAGAAUAUAACAAAACUUCUCAAAAACUUUAAAUUAUAAGAAAAACUUUUUUUUAUAAAAAUAUUAUAUUUUUUUAAAUAAUUAUAAUUUUUUUAUUUAUACUAUAUAUAUAUAUAUAUAUAUAUAUAUAUAUUUAUAUAUGUCCUUCUAAACAGCUAUCUCCAAGAAGUAAUAAUCUCCAAAAAGUAAUCAAAUUUGGAAACUAAUUCUAGCUAGAAUCUAAACCUUUAGUGUUAUUUGUUAUUCUCAUAAUUAAUAAUCUUUAAUAUAUAUAUAUAUAUAUAUAUAUAAUAGAUGAUAUUAAUUAGCAAGAGGACUAAUAUAGAUGCUAAAAUAACUUAUCACCUAAUGAUAUUGGACAAGAAGAAAAAACUUACAAAAUAUAUUUGGACAAGUAAUUUCUUAUUGUUUAAGUUUCAUAAAAGUGUGUAAGUUUUAUCAUUAGACUUGUAUAAAAAGAUUUCGUAAUUUUUAAAAGAUAUCAAUUUUAUUAUUUUUUGAUUAAAAAAUAAAAAAUUAUAAUAUUCAAAUUUAAAUUUUUAUUGAUAUACACAUUUAAUGUUUGUGUUUUAUAGUAAAUAUAUACAAAAUUGAAUUAACUUGUCUUUGAUAAUUUUCUAAAAUAAUAGGAUUAUAUUAUGAAUACUUUUUUCAAAAUAAAAUUAUGUUUAAAAUAAAAAUGAUUUUUUUAUAUUUUAAAUAUAUAUAUAUAAAUAUUUCAUAAGGUAUUUUGAGUUUUAAAAUUCUUUCUACUUAACUUUCUUUUUAAAAAAGAAUUCUUUCUAUAAUAUUUAUUAAACUUAGCUUAAUUUAUAUAUUUAAUACACGUAUAUUUUUUAAUAUUAUCACCUGUAUUCUUUUAUAUUGUAUAAUAUAUUAAAUUCUAUAUUUUUUCUAAUUAUACAUGUUUUUUUAGAAAUUCAUAGUUAUAAUAUAAUUAUUUUAUUGAAUCUUGUCACAAUUAUUUUUAAUAAAGCAUAAAAUAAUACAUUAAUAUAUAUACUAAAGUAAAAUAUUACUAAUUAAUAUUAUGUGUAUUUUUAUUUUUGAAGUUUUUAUAUAAGAUAAAAAAACGAUUAUAUUGCAAGAAGUGCACACAUCAAAAAAAUUAUACAAUAAAUAAAAUUUUACAUAAUAUAAGCCUUAGAUACAUUUGAUUUACUUCUCGAUUUUUAAUUAGAUACUACUCAUAAAUUUCUCAAUCUAAAAUUAAUAAUUUGAGAGUAAUUUUUAAGAUUUCAAUUAUUCUAUUAAAAUAAAAUGCAUGUAAAAUUAAUGUUAGUUGAGAAUUUAUAAUAAUUUAGAAAUAUAAUUAAUAUCUUAUAAUCUAUUGUCAAUACUAAACUUAUUUUAAAAUAAAUAUAUUUCAAAUUACCAAGGUAUCAUAGAAUAAUAAUAGUAAAAAUAAAAACAACAAGACAUCAAAAUAAAUGAAGAUUCUAAAAACUUAUUAAAAACUAUAUCAAUUAUGCUAUUUUAUUUUAAAAAUAAAAAAUAAAAAAUAUAAUUAAUAUAAUUAAUAUAAUAAGAUUUAAUUCAUUAAAAAAAUUAUGAAAAUAUGUACAUUGUAAAAAUUUGUUCUUUGUGGAUCUUAUAAUUGAUCUUGGCUAUUAAAAAGUUUCUUGAAUAUAUGUUAUUCAAUGAAUUUUUUCAUCUUCUCCUAUUUAUAAUAAUACCACAUCAAAAAUAAAGUUUAAUGUAUAUAUUUUCAUAGAAAAUGCCUUGAAAAAAUUUAUAUAAUAUACGAUUGGUACAAAAAUAAAAGUUUUUUUAAAAUCUUCAAAUGCUACUUCAGCUUCUUUAUAACACUUAAGUUUGUCUUUAUAAGUCAAACAUGUAAAUAGAGCUACAAAUUAAAAAUAGUUAUUUAAAAUAUUAGAUAUUUAUAUUAUUCUUAAAAUCUUUCAAUCUAUGAUAAUUUGAUUUUUUUUUUAAGAUCUAUCCAUAAGGCCAUCAUUUGAAAUGAUGUAUUAUAAAAAAUCAACUUGAUCUAUAUGAACUGUAUACUUUUCUAUCUUAGUGUAUAAUUCUACAUUUCUAAGUUUUUGUAGCAUAUAAUAAAUAUGAAUUUUGUACUUAUUUAUAUUUUUAAAAUCAAUUAAAAUAUUUUUUGGAAAAUAAAUAAUAAAAUCAUCUAAAAACAUCCAAAAAAAUAUCAUUGAUUAGAUCUUAAAAAUUAAACCUUGCAAUUCUAAGUCCAAAAAGAAUAACGUUAUAUUUAAAAUAAUUAUGCUUAGUUUAAUAUAUAAUCUUCUAUUCAUAUCCUUCUUUAAUGUGUACAAGAUUAUAUGCUUUUAGUAAAUCUAUUUUAUUAUAGAUCAUUAUUUGAUUCAAUUAAUUAAGAAAUCUUGAUAUUAAAAGUAGAAAAUACCUAUUUUUAUGAUAAUUUUGUUGAAUCCUUGAUAAUCUACAUACAUACAAAAUGAUUUUUCUUUUUUCUCCAUAAAUAAGAUAAAAAAUCUUGUUUGAAAUUUUAAAUAAUGUAUGAAGUUUUCAAUCAAGUUUUUAUUAAUGUAUUUCUUAAGUGCAGCUAAUUUUUUGUUUAAUAAGCUGUAGAUUGAUCCAAAUAAUAGUUGAGUUCUUUCUUGAAGGUUAAUUUAGCAAUCAUAAAGUUAAUGCUUCAAAAAAAUAUCCAUAUUUUUCUUCUCAAAACAUAAUGAUAAUCUUAAUAUUGACUUGGAAUACCACUUGAAGUCUUUUUUCUAUUAAAAAUAGAUGUGACAUAAAUAAAUGAAAUAUAAUAUUUUUUUAUAAUAUGCAUUAAAAUUCUUGUGCUUACCAAUAAGGAUUUUGUUUUAUUAGAUUUAUUUAUUUUUUAUCUUUAUAAAAAAAGUCUAGAUUAUGCUAUGGAAAAAAAUAAGAUUAUAAGAAAUUUAAUCUUUUUGAGGAUUAUUCUCUUUUAGCCAAUAUAGACCUAAAAUAAUUAGACAAGAGAAAUAUUUAAUAAUAUUAAAUAUUACUUAGCUAUUAUAACCAUUAAUUGCUUCAUCUAAAAAAAAAUCAUAGAUAACAUCUCUAAAAGACAACAAACAACCAUCUAUGAUUUCCAUAUGUAAAAGCUUAGUUUUCUUGACUAAAGAUUUUUUUUUUUUUUUUUUUUUUUUAAAUAUCUAUAAGAAAAAUUGAGUCUCUUGAAUCUAACAAAGAAAAUGUUUUAUAAUUUUUUGAUUCCAAAAAAAAAUCUAUUAUAAAAUAAAGUCAGGUAUCAAAAAAAGAAAUAUGUGAAGGACAAGAACUCAAUGAAAAAGCAAUUCAAACAAGUGAGCCUUCACUCAAAGAAAGGUAAAAAAAUAUAAAUAAACAAGUAUGUAUAUUGAAAGAGAAACUGGAAUGGCUAUUGCCAAAAGAUAAGAAAACUAGAGACCCUUGAAACUAGACUAGAAGCAAGAAAGGAGUUGACAAGAGUGAAGAAGGCUUCACUCUUGUCUCUAUAUAUACUAUCUAAAUAGAGGCUUUGUGGCAACGUUCUAUAGGACCUCCAAUAUGUAUUGGCUUUGUAGGACACAUGCCUUGACUUACAAGGCAAGUUUUUCUAUGUGUGGGCCACAUAAUUAGCUUGAUCUUCAAGCUAACAACAUGUGUGGCACAUGGCUAACUUAUUGACCACGUUUCUAAUCCAAAAAAGUCAAUUAAAGAUACCUAUGAAGUCAAAGUAGCAUCUAUUAAGCUUCUAGAAAGUUUUCAUAUCAAAUACUAUAGAAUUAACUUAUUUUUAUUUACUUUUACUUACUUCUACCUAUUUGUAUAUGUAAUUAUUGGCUUACAUGAAUAUGUCCAUGACAUUACCUCCCCUUCUAGGAACGAGUUCUACGAGGAGUGAUCAUCAUAUGUUGAAAAAAUAUAUGAUACGACGAAUUAUAUUCACCACAUACUCAGAUCUUUGUUCUCUUUGAAGAUGAUUGAUAGGACCUUUCAAUCAUCGGUAGUGUCCCAUACUAGGGCGGGAAGACCACCCAGUUAUUUGAUCAUUGUUCAGGCCUUCAUAACUUCCUUCGAAUAGAACAUUUGAAACACCAUCAGGAGUUGUUCCUACCUCUAGUAAAAUCACCAAACAUCGGGAGUCCCUUUCUAAGUCGUGAUACCAAAUGCAUUAUAUCUCACCAUCUACUCGAGGAAGAAUAUGUCAUUCUUGAAGAUCUUUAUUUCGAUUGCAUCAUCUUGAAGGUUGUGACAAUCAUAAUAUCUCAUCCGAUAAGUCAACAAAUGAAGGCUCUUGAGUCAAAUCUACUGGUUUUUGGUUCUCCAUCUUCUAAGCGUCACUACUACAAAGAAGCUACAAACAAGAAUUGAAAGUAGAAUGUUAUCUUGCCUAGAUGUUGUUUCUUUUAUAAAGAAGUUUUCAUCUUGAUUUUGAUGGAUGUCAUCGAUGAAAAGCCUCCACCGCCUUUGCUGCAUUUGCAAGAUUUUUUAUUGGCUCCCAUGUGUGUUGACUAAUAUCAUAUCUGCGCCAAUGGAUAAGAUAUUUCAAUUUAUUUGGGCACCGCCUUGAAUCUGAGACUUCUUCUACUUCAAACUCUUCAUUAUUGUCCACUUCUAUAGGAAGAGGUGGAGCUUAUCGUCUUCUUAGUAUGUCCACUGUCUUGUAUGGUUCAAGAAGAGACACGUGGAAUACUAGAUGGAUUUUCAUUGACUCCGAUAGAUGUAAACGAUAUGCAAUUGGAUUCAUUUGUACAAAAAUAGAAAAUGGUCCAAGCCUUCGAUAGUCCAACUUGUCGCAAGGACAAGUGGUCUUGAUAUUACGAAGAAGUAGCCAUACCUUAUGAUCUAAGUGGAAUGGUGGUUAUUCCUUUCGAUAGACAUCUGCAUUGACCUUUUGUUGUUCUUGAGUCUCUUUUAACUAUGCCUUCAUCGUUGCAUGUAGCUCUGACAAAUGAAUUGCCAAAUCUUUGGUAGCAAGAUUAUCAACUUUUGAAAAUGUCAAAAGUAUCAAGUUAUGGAUGAUAACCAUAAUUAGCAAAGAUAAGUGUUUGUUUUGUAGAAGAAUUUACUGUCUUAUUGUAAGCAAACUCUGCCAAUGGCAAAAGAGUUGUUCAAUCAUCUUGUUGGUAGUUAUUGGUAUAUCUUAAAUAUUGCUCCAAAACUUGAUUAACUCGCUCCGUUUGUCCAUCAGUUUGAGGAUGGAAUGCCGAAGAUUGUUUUAUAUCCACUUUUAGAAUCUUGAAAAGAGUCCGCCAAAAUCUUGAUACAAAUUGAGUUUCCCUAUCUGAUAUAAUAUCCUUGGGUAAUCCAUGAUAGCGAUAGAUAUUGUCAAGAAAGAGCUUAGCUGUUUCUUCACCUAUGAGAGAUUUUAUACAUAGUAUAAAAUAAGCCAUCUUGGUAAAACGAUCUACUAUCACAAAUAUAGAGUCAUAAGAACCUGAGAUUAGAAGAUCCAUGAUGAAGUCCAUAGAAAUAAAAGACCAUGGUUGUUCUGGAAUGAGUAAUGGCUGAAGAAGUCCAAAAGGUCGAUGACGAGGAGUUUUUAAUCUUGAGCAAACAUCACAUGAUUGUACAAAAUUUUUGACUGCCUUCCACAUUUGAGGCCACCAAAAAUCCCUAGAUAUCAGCUCUAAAGUCUUAUUGUAUCUAAAAUGUCCUACUGCUGAGAAGUCGUGACGAGCUUGAAGAAUACAUAAACAUGCUUCUCCUUGUGAAAAAUAUAGGCGUCCUUCAAAAUAGAAUAGGUUGUUCUUGAAUUCAAAUUUAGAAGGAUCAUGAGGUUUAGAAGAAUUAUUCUUGAUAUCAUGAACAAGAGGGUCUAAAGAGAUACUUAACUGGACUUGCUUGAGAAAAGUUAAAUCAAUAGUCAAUGUUGAUUUUAUUGCUCAAAGAUGAAAUUGCUUUGGCUUCAAGAGAACCGUUCUUUGUUGCUCAAAAGCUACAUCUCCUUCUUUUGGUGCAAGAUAAGAACGUCUAGACAAGGCAUCGCACAAACCUUAUUAUUUUCCUGACCGAUAAGUGAUGAUGAACUCAAAUCUUGAUAAAGACAUGCUCUAAUGAGCUUGACGACGAUUUAAUACGCGUGCUGACAUGAAAUACUUGAGGUUCUUGUGAUCCAUAUACACGAUGACUGGACUGGAAGCGCUUUCUAGAUAAUGAUGCUAUUCUUGAAAAGAAUCCAUAAUUGCAAGAAGUUCUUUGUCAUGGAUCUCAUAAUUGAUUUCUGCUGCUGAGAAUUUUCUUGAAUGAAAGGCUACUAGAUGAAGUUUGUCAUUUUUUCCCAUUUGUGACAAAACCACACCCAUAGCAACUUUCGCUUCUUGAUUCUAUUGGAGUUUGACUUUACAAGUCAAACGUAUAAGUAGAGUUGCAACUCGAGAGAAGUCUUUGAUGAAGAUCCAAUAGUAGUUGGCAAAUCCCAAAAAGCAUUGGACAUCUCUUACCAUUUUUGGGAUCUUCCAAUCUAUAAUAGUUUGAACUUUCUUAGGAUCCAUCAUAAGUUCAUCAUUUGAAAUGAUGUAACCUAAGAAAUCGACUUGAGUAGUAUGGAAUACACACUUUUUUAUUUUGGCAUAGAAACUUGCAUCUCUUAAUUUUUGUAACACAAGACGAACAUGAAGUUCAUAUUCUUCUAGAUUCUUAGAAUAGAUUAAGAUGUUGUCUAGACAACAGACCACAAAAUCAUCCAAAAACUCUAGAAAAACAUCAUUUUUUAGAUGUUGAAAUGCUGGUGGUGCAUUUACAAGUCCAAAAGGCAUGAUGUUGUAUUCAAAAUGUCCAUACCUAGUUUGAAACGCAAUCUUCCAUUCAUCUCUUUCUUUGAUGUGUAUUAGAUUGUAUGUUCUCAAGAGAUCUAUUUUUGUAUAGAUCUUAGCUUGAUUCAGCUGAUCAAAAAAUCUAGAUAUUAAAGGUAGUGGAUACCUGUUCUUGAUGGUAAUCUUGUUGAGUCCUCGAUAAUCAAUACACAUCCGCAAUGAUCCAUCUUUUUUCUUCACAAAUAGAAUUGGAGCUCGUACUAGAGAUUUAGAAUGGCGUAUGAAAUUCUUGGUUAGAUUUUCUUCAAUAUACUCCUUGAAUUCAAUCAACUCAUUUUGUGAUAAACUAUAGAUUGGUCCGAAUGGCGGUUGUGCUUCUUCUUGAAGGUCAAUUGAACAAUCAUAGGGACGAUGUUCCGGGAGUGUAUCCGCAUUCUUUUUUUCAAAUACAUCUUGAAAUUCUUGAUAUUGGCUUGGAAUGCCACUUGAAGUCUUUCCACUGGUAGAAACAUGUGUGGUAUAAAUAAUACAUGGUGAUUCUUUUAUAGCAGUAUGCAAGAAAGCUUUUACACCUAUAAACACGAGUUUAAUUGAACUAGACUUAUGACUCUCUACUUGAUUAACUACACUAUUAGUUAUACUUUUAGAAAAAGUAAGAGUUUGGGAAAUCCAAUCUAUUUGAGGGUUGUAUUUUCUAAUCACAAUAAACCUAAAAUAAUUGGAUUAAAGGGAGAUCUAAUGAUAUUAAAUACUACAAAGUUAUUAUGACUAUUGAUUAUUACUUCUAUAAGAAGGGUUUUGUGAGUAAUAUCUCCAAAAGAUAAUAGACAACCAUCUAUGACUUCUACAUGAAUAGGUUUAGUUUUCUUUACUAAAGAUAUGUUAAGUCUUUUAGUAAAUCCUUCAUCUAAGAAACACGGAGAGGCUUCUGAAUCUAACAAGGCAGAGGCUUUAUAAUGUUUAGGUCCUAAAAUAACAUUUAAUGUAAAACAAAGAGAGGGCUCUGAGGAGCGAAUGGAAUCUUUACUAGAUGUUGUGCAAGGUUCCAAUCGCAUGGCCCCAAUUGUAGUUGGACAAACUCGUUUUUCCACAUAUUAUCUUCUUUCACAACCAUACUUCUCAUUUUUUGGUUGUGUCGUUUCUUUGGACAAUAUUGAGCAAUGUGUUUUGGUUCUUUGUAAUACAAAUAUAAUCCUUCUUCACGACGAUGAGUCUUUUCUUGCUCAGUAAGAGAUUUGAAACUUACUGCAUCAAUUUGCAUAUCCUUUACUUCCGAAUGUAUGUAUUGAAGAGGUGUUGGUAUUGCCAUUGAAUUAUAGUAACGUUGAGGUCCACUUGUACGGUUCUCAGAUCGAAAUUCAAAAAGGCAAUUGUUGCUCUUCAUAGCAAAGUCAAUUGCUUGACUCAAUGUUUGAGGAUCAGGUAAGUUUAGUAUUAAUUUUUUUACCUCAUAUUGUAAUCCGUAGAGAAAUUGGCUAAUAAGUGCAGUAUCAACCUACUUGAUACCAGUUGUAAGUUGUUGAAAUUGUGAAGCAUACAACAUUACUGAUAAAUUGCCUUGUCGUAAAAUAUGGAUCUUAUUGGUUGCAACACGAAUUACAUCAUGUUUUCCAUACAUGGAUCAAAACUUUGCCAAAAAAGCCUCUAGAUUAUCUAAUAUUGGAUCUCGUCAUUCAAGAAAAGAUGAAAACCACGAUAGUGCUUAACUUGAAAGAAGCGUACCAAUGAAUCUAACUUGGGAUCUUGGAAUUGGAUAGCUUUGAGAUUGAAGUUCAAUCACAAGUUACACUUUAUUGAUAAAUCCUCGAAACUUGGAUCUGGUACCAUCAAACUUUUUGGAUAGGGCAAUUCUUGGUUCUUUAACACUAGAAGGACGUUCCACCAUAAGAGAAAGGACAUGAUUUGGUGUAGAUGUUGAAGCAGCUCCAACCAUUUCUAUAUCUUUACUUCCUGCUAAUCUUGUUGCUCUUUGUGGUGGUAAAUUGAGUUGAUGCAUCGCAAGCAUUAACUCCCUCAAUUACUCUUGCAUUUGUGCCAUUGCACUCUUCAUUUCAACAAGUUCUGCUAUGAUAACACUUAGAAAAGAGAAGAUGUCUAGUAUCGCUCAAGACAAAUAGAAGAGAGGAAUUGAGAACAAGGAAAAUACUAAGGACAAUAUCAAUUUAGAAGAGAGUAAUCCGCAACUUCUAAUAUGCUUAUAUCUUAUCAAGAAAAAAGGAUAAUCCACUCUUAAUCAAGAUUAGACAAAGCUCUCAUAUUAUAGGUGUACUCUUGUCAAUUUGUCAAGAACAAGAACUUGAUGAAAAAAUAAUUCAAAGAAGUGAGCCUUCACUCAAAGAAAGGUAACAAAAUAUAAAUAAACAAGUAUGUAUAUUGAAAGAGAAACUGGAAUGGCUAUUGCCAAAAGACAAGAAAACUAGAGACCCUUGAAACUAGACUGGAAGCAAGAAAGGAGUUGACAAGAGUGAAGAAGGCUUCACUCUUGUCUCUAUAUAUACUAUCUAAAUAGAGGCUUUGUGGCGACGUUCUAUAGAACCUCCAAUAUGAGUUGACUUUGUAGGACACAUGCCUUGACUUACAACGCAAGUUUUUCUACAUGUAGGCCACAUAGUUAGCUUAGUCUUCAAGCUAACAACAUGUGUCACACAUGGCCAACUUAUUGACCACGUUUUUAAUCCAAAAAGUCAAUUAAAUACACCUAUGAAGUCAAAGCAGCGUCUAUGAAGCUUCAAGGAAGCUUUCAUAUCAAAUACUAUAGAAUUAACUUACUUUUAUCUACUUUUAUUUACUUCUACCUAUUUGUAUAUGUAAUUACUGGCUUACAUGAGUAUGUCCAUGACAGAAUAAGACCAUUAUUAAAUAUUGCACAAGAUUUUAGGAAUAUGGUCUUUAUUGUAGUUGGAAAAAAUUAUUUUUUAAUAUAAUAUCUUUUUUUACAACCAUGCUCUUCAAUUUUUGAUUGUAUUGCUUCUUUGAAUUUUUUUGAAUAAUAUACUUAGUUUCUCUAUAAAAUAAGUACAAUAUUUUUUAAUGACAUUAAAUCUUUUUUGCUCAAUAAAAACUUUGAAACAUAUUAUAUCAAUUUGCAUAAGUUCAAGGCUUAAUGAAUAUUUUUUUAAAAAUUUUGACUUCAUUUUUUCCUCUCUAUCCAAAUAUUAAUUCAUGGUGUCUUUCAAAAAGUUGUUUAUCAUAUGUAAUGACUUCAACAAUAAACUAUUUUAAUGAAUUUGUUUUUAAUAUUGUCAAUAAUAAAUCUUUGACAAUAUCUUUCAAUCCAUAUUAAAAUUUAUUGAUAAGAGUUUUUUCAUCCCAAUUCAUAUCACAAGCAAGAUUUUGGAAUUUAAUAAUAUAUAUGAUAAUUAAACAUGAUCAUUGUUGUAAAAAAAUAAUUUGAUCUUUGCUAUUUUUUUUACUCAUUUUUUCUAAAUGUGGCCAUAGAUACUUUUAAGAAUGAAUUUAGGUCAUAUAAGAAUUAUAAAUCAUUUUCUAUUAAAGGUACAAAUUAAAAAAAAUACUUCUAAAGAUGAAUGUGCUUAUGAAUCCAACUUGAGUAAAUCCAUAAAGAGAUUGGAAAAGAUGCAACCUUAGAUAGAACUUAACUUAUUGUAGAAAUCAUUAAUUUUUUUAUCUUAUUCCAUCAAACUUCUUAGGUAUAUUAAUCCCUAUUUUUCUCAUACUCAUAGUAGCAAGACUUCUUAGGUAUAUUUAUAAUGUUGAUCUAUUUCUUUCUCUCAAUUCAAUAACUUCUUAGCAUAGAUAUUAAACUUGAUUAUUGAUUUCUUCCAUGUAUGUAGGAAUAGUACUUCCAUAGUUAACAUUAUUAAUACAUGAAAAUUUUAGCCAAAGAGUAUUAAAAAGCUCUUGAAGAUCUACAAUAGUUUCAAAUCUAUUCUCAUUUCCACCAAAUAUGGCAUUUAUAGUUUUUUUAAUAUCUUUUUAACAAAAAAUAUCAAUAAAUCUACAAUUCAAAUUAAAAGAGGGUAAUUUGUAACUUCUAAUAUUAAAUAAAAAAUUCCACAAAGAUGAAUAUUCUAUUCUUUUUUUUUAAUAACAAAUCAAUGUUAAAAAAUAAAAAAUCUUGAAAUAAGAUUAAUAAAAAAAUAUUUACCUAGAUUGAUUUUUAAAAUUAUAUGAUUCUUUGUCUUUUUAUUUGAUUUUACUAAUAUAUUAUGAUUAAAUUAUAUCAAAAAUUAUAUCGAAAAUUUGAAUGAAUAUACAUAUAUGUAACAAUAUUACAUAGAAGUAACUACUUAAGUUGAUUCUUCAAUAAAAUAAAUAUUAACCAAGUUCUUUCUAAAAUGUAAGUUGGAGAAAUCAAAAUAAAUCCUAUAAGUUUUAAAAAAAUUGUUUUUCCUACAUUUGUAGUUUAGUUUAUAAAAUAAACUUCGUUUAAAUAUAAAAAAAAUGAGAUACUGGAUAACAUUCAAUCUAUUAUUAUCAUUACUAUUAUUUGUCUAUACAUAUAAUAUGUGUUUUCUUGUAUAUACAUGUAUACAAUUUGUCUGUAUGUGCUUGAAGUAGUGACUUGGUCUGUUGUCUUUAAAUAAUAAGUAUAUCUCGAUCUUCAUUUUAGUUUUAAUUCGAUUUUUUGUUUCAUUUUAUUGAAGAUGUUUUUGUUCAUUUUUAACAUUUAUUAAUUUAUUUUUAUUUCAUUAAUAUUGCAAACUGUGCAACUCAAGCUAAUUAUCAAGCUAAUUAUUUAUAUUGGUCUUAACUUAUAUGUUAGAAGAAAAUAUAUUCUUAAAAUCAAUCUUUAUUUUUUAUUUUUUAUUUUUUUAAAAUCAUAAUAGUUAUAACAAAAAAAAUAAACAAAAAAAGGAUGGCCUCUCUCAAUUUUAAAAAGAUAUUGCUUAAAUAAGAUUAGCAUUUUGGCUAUUAAGUUAUUUCUAAUUUUAAUUUAGAUAUUACCAUUUUUAUUUUAUAUAGUUCUUUCAUAUAUUAGUAGUUUUGUUUUUUCACAAACUUAUUUGUCAGUGUUCAAAAUAUCAAAUUGUACUGUAGACAGUACACAAUAAUGUUGGAAGAUGUUUCUAUUUUUUUGGUUUAUCUGUUUUAUUUGUUUUAUUUAUUUAGUGAAAUACACAUGCGUCAUUUUUUUCUUUCUAAUAAUUAUUUUAUAGAAACCUGGUGCAAUUUUUAUGACUGAGAGUUUGUACCUAAACAUUGCCAUAAUAUGUUUGAUAAAAUACUUAAUGAAUCAAACACAAGUCUAUCCAAACCAUUUUAAAGUUAAACAAACAAUACAAGUUAAUAAAAUGAAAAUAUAAUUCAUAUUAUUAUUCAAUAUUUUAUGAAAACAAUAGUAGAAGUCGUGUUUGGUAAAUAAACAUUUUGUAUAUAUAUAUAUAUAUAUAUAUAUAUUCAAAGUCCGGAGACUAGAAAAAAUGAAUUUGGAUAAACAAAUUUUUUCUUUAUCAUGUACUUUCAAAGUUUGUAAUAUGUGGUAUUGUAUGGGAAAUUUAAGCUAAUAUUUGUCCUGUAAGUGACUAUGCAUGCAAAUGAAAUUUAUAGAACUACAUUAAUGUCCUGUUCAUAUUCUGUUAUCUAUUAUAUAAUUUAACGAUGCAUCAUAUGCACAAUCCCAUAAAAUUUAAUUUUAAAAAUAAAAAUCAAUAAAAAGAAAAUUAUAAAAGUCUUAAGCUCUCAAUUUGAGACAUGGAAAACCAUAACUUUCACUUUAACUCCCCGCGAACUUUAAAGGUAACGCUGGGGUCGUCGUCACCUCCGUCGUCUCCGUCAUCGUCGUCACCACCUCCGUCGUGGCAGCCAUACCUCCGUCGCCGCCGUCGUCAUCGUGGUCGCGAUAACCGUGGUCUCCGUCCCGGUCCCCGUCGUCGCGGGGACAGUGGUGGCCCCGAGCGAGCAGCAAGCAAAGCAGGGGAAUGCUCACGCGUCCGCGCUGCAGCACCAGCACCAGCAGCAGAGUAGCAGUAGCAGUAGCAGUAGAGUAGACGACACCCGACGAUGCUACGCGAUGAUGCGAUGCCUGCGCUGCCCCGCCCUGCCCUCUGCUACUGAUGCCCACUCUCUCUCGCUCUCUACAUCUACAAUCCCCCUUUUCCCGUUUUUUGUUUGUUUGCUGGUGCGCCACUCGGCUUGCCCCCUUUACAUCUCUUCUCCACUCUGAAUCUUGCUCUUCCCCCCCGCAAUUUGCUUCUCUCUCUCUCUCUCUCUCUCUCUCUCUCGCGUUCUGAUUAUAUCUCGGCUAGUGUCCGUCGUGUUGUGUGGGGUGUUGUAUCAAGUCUCUCUUCUCUUCUUCGUCUCGCACCGAGAUUUCGUCAUGGAUGAAGAGUAUGACGUGAUUGUACUCGGCACUGGCCUCAAGGAAUGUAUCCUCAGUGGACUUCUCUCUGUCGAUCGUCUCAAGGUGGUGCCUCUUCCUCGAUCUGAACCUUUUAUAGGUUUGCAGAUCAGUGUUUUUGUUUGUUUGUUUUGUUUUUAUUUCCUUUCUCUUCUUCUCCUUAGGUUGUAGUGUUUUGUGAUGCAAUCGUCCUUCGAUUGUUGUUAUUUUGGUGGAUUGUGAAGGUGGGGCGAGGUGUUUCUGGUAGGCAGACCUAAUCGUGGGUAGUAUGAGGGAUUGUGUGGGUUUAUGGGGGGUUGCCAACUUUGAGUUAGCUAGCGAAGAUGGCGAUGGGAAUCAGGGAAUUGCCGCUGGCGGCCAUACAGUGGGUUGGAUUCUCUACAACUGGAUGGGUAGUGAAUUGCGAAGGGUGUGAGAGAGGAGUGGUGAAAUUAGUAUUUUGAAUCUGUUUAAGGGUGCGCGUUCUGAUGAUCGCUGGAUGAUCCUGUGGGAUGGUGCAGGUGCUUCAUAUGGACAGGAAUGACUAUUAUGGCGGAGCUGCUGCAUCAUUGAACUUGAACCAGGUGAGAAUGAUGUGCUAGCCUCUUGUCUCUUGCUCAAAUUCGUGCACAAGUAACGGUGAGGUUUUCUCCUCGUUAUUUCGAGUGUCACAUGCUGCUGUUGAACUUCUUAGUAAGUGUUCUUUAGUUGAUAGGUUUUCCUUCUCAGCCUGUAGUCACGGUGCUAUCACGGCAUGCUUCAGUAAAGGGGCCGCUGAUCGUAUUGUUAAUUCUCUUCACAAGGUUCAUUUUCCCGUGAGGUUAGCACGGUGGGUUAGUGUGAGAAAAUAUAAUUUGAUCAGGUCUUGCUAUUGAUUCAUUUAUUUGCGUAAAGAGAGCACUGAAUGUUAAUGAAGUUUUUGGCCCCAAGUAUUUUACUGUUAAGGUUUAGCGAAGAUUUUAACUGAACACUUGCUGUGAGUGAUCAGUGAGCUACUCUGAUCUUCGGUGAUUUUUGGGCAGUAUACGCGUUUUUUAAAUGUUAAUUUUGAGAAUUGUUCCUACUUGAACUAUCAAGUUAAAAACCUGCUUAAUCCAGUGUGUGGAGAAUGUUGAUCGACACACCAUGGUGUCAACCAUGAGCAGAAUUACACUGGUCUUGUUUCAAACUUCGCUAAUCUCCUUCCCUCUUUCUCUUUACGAAGAUUUUAAUCUUUAUGUAACCAUCACAUGUGGUGUGGCAGUUGUGGAAAAAAUUUAAAGGAGAUGAAAAGCCUCCAGCCUUCCUGGGGUCAAGCAAGGAGUAUAAUGUGGACAUGGUCCCCAAGGUGAACUGGGCAUGGAUGUGACAUGUGUUUGUGGGCACAAAAGUGAUUCCUUCAAAUUUUGUGUCUUGUAAUGGUUUUGAAUGUUCGCAACAAACCGAGAUGAAAGUUUCCUUCAAGUUUUAGUAGCGUAUAUUCGAGUCACAGCGACGGUUUUUUAAUUUUCGUUGUCUCUCGCAGUUUAUGAUGGCAAAUGGCACCCUUGUGAGAGUUCUCAUCCACACGGAUGUCACAAAAUACCUACUGUUUAAGGCUGUGGACGGCAGCUACGUCUAUAAGCAGGGAAAGGUGCGUCGUUGCAUUCUUGUUGAAGAGUUUAUGUCCAUAAUUUGAGGCAUUCUUGAGUUCCUUCGUCCCUCUUAAUUGGAUGCGUUCUUUGCCUAUCCUGGACCUAUCUUUUGAAGGUUUUACUAGUAUAUGCAUAUAACCUCUCAAGGUAAUCUGAAGGCUGUCGAUAUGAUUUUAGAGCUGGCUGUGCUAGGUCAUCUUUCCAUUGUCUGCCUAUUAUUAUUAACUUGUGUUCAUUCUUUUCCGUUUCCAUAGGUGUACAAAGUUCCAUCUAAUGACGUGGAAGCAUUGAAGUCUCCUUUGAUGGGGCUAUUUGAGAAGCGGCGUGCUAGGAAGUUUUUCAUCUUUGUCCAGAACUACGAUGAGGCAGAUGCUAAAACACACGAUGGAAUGAACUUGCAGACAGUUACAACGAAAGAACUAUUCGAGUAUAUUACCUUAUCUAAUAUUGACUUCUUUUUCAUACUGAUUUUGUGGAUAACCAUUCUUGAGAGCUUUGUUUCUUCGUAGGAAGUUGCUGAGAAUAGCAAUAGUCGGAUGGUUUGUGGUGUGGUCAUUCGGAAAAAUUGUGAGCGAUUUUACUCCUUUCUGAAUCUUACUGCACGAAUUGUUAUGCAGGAAGUUUGGUCUCGAUGCCAACACAAUUGACUUCAUUGGGCAUUCUUUGGCGUUGCAUCGUGACGAUCGUUUCUUGUCUGAGCCAGCGUUGGAUACAGUGAAGAGAGUGAAGGUAUGCCUUUAUUUCCUGCUAACACACUCCCUGUUAUAGCUCAUUCUGUUUAAUCCACACGUUAUCUUCACAAGAUUUUUAUCAGCUCUACAGUUUUGUUCGCUACAACCUGAGUUGUCUUUUUUUUCUUGGUGCAGUUGUACGCAGAGUCAAUGGCCCGGUUUCAAGGAGGAUCACCUUACAUCUAUCCACUCUACGGCCUCGGCGAGUUGCCACAGGUUCGCGUUUAGUUUGAUUCAGUUUUUAUGAUGCUGCCUGUUAGUAAGUGUUCCUUACAGGCAAGAUGUGUCGCCUGUUCCUGUACACCGAAAUAUGUUUGAAGGUUGGCUUGGAAGGGCUGGUUAAUAUUAGUCUCCUGUUUAAAGCUAGUCCGGUCAGUAGUGUGGUAGGGUUGAAGCUCUGAAUUUUUCGGUAUGACUAUUGUUUUAGGAAAUCAGGAUUCUGGAGUAGGAGAAGUCAACUGUACCAGUUGUGUGCUUGGGGAAUGUCUCACGCCGAUGCCCAUUCUGAUGUGUGUGUGUAUACCAUAAUAUGAUUGACAGGGAUUUGCUCGUCUUAGUGCCGUGUACGGAGGCACCUACAUGCUUGCCAAACCUGAGUGCAAGGUAAACAUCUGGUUCUGAUGCUGAAGUUUUCUUGCAUCGUCUGCUUUUCCUAGACAUCAUGCAGUUAUUGUGACAUUCCAUUGGUUCAUUCACGAAUUCUGAUUUGUUUGAACUUGACUCAUCCAACAGGUAGAAUUUGAUGAAAUGGGUCAAGUUAUGGGGGUUACUUCCGAGGGGGAGACCGUGAAGGCCAAGAAAGUUGUUUGUGAUCCAUCGUAUUUGCCCAAUAAGGUAAUUUGCUGAUUUGAAGGUCCUUAUUAGCACUGUGCCUAUGGCUUUGUAGACUAUAUCACGGCGAAUCAUCUAACGUGUCCACCUUUGUGAAACAUGGGAUGCCGUUGCUUUCUCAGGUCAAAAAGGUUGGGAAGGUGGUGCGUGCUAUCUGCUUCAUGAGCCACCCAAUUCCAAAUACCAAUAAUUCUGACUCCGUUCAAAUCAUUCUGCCACAGAAGCAACUUGGCCGCAGAUCAGACAUGUAAGCCGUGUACUUUUGGUUUGAUUUUAAACAGGAGGAGAUGUCCAAUUAUUUGGGUUCCUGUAAAAUUUGAAUCGAGGUUGACCUGUUUAUAAUCUAUCAUGCUUCUGGCUCGACGUGAAUUUUUUCAAUGAUUUUAAUGUCUAACUUUAUAUUUGCCAUAUCAACUGUUAAUGGAACGAUGUAAUGUUCUGGGCUUGCUGGCAGGUAUGUGUUCUGUUGCUCUCACUCUCACAAUAUAGCUGCAAAAGACAAGUACAUCGCAUUUGUUUCAGCAGAAGUGGAGACGGACACUCCGGAAGCUGAGCUGGAGCCAGGGCUUGCACUUCUUGGACACAUUGAUGAGAAGAUAAUUGACAUGUACGACAUGUAUGAGCCAGUCAAUGAUCCCUCACUCGACAACUGCUUCAUUUCUAAGGUAUCAACUAUUCAUCAUUUAUUUGUGAAUAUGACUCAGCUUGUCUAGUAGGCUACUUCUCAAUUUGGAUACUCUUUGUGUCACCCUAGAAGGUAUGAUAUUGCUUUGCAAUUGUUGUAACUUUCCACUCGACAUGGUGUCGAAUGGUUUUCAGCUUGUCUCUUUGAUUAUGUUCAAUGGCAUUGCACUUUAUCUGAUGAGCAUUGGCAAGUAAUUCUAAAAAAAUCUUUAGAAGAAGAUGCAUAGGUUUUUAAUUCCUGGUGUGUGUUACAGAGCUACGAUCCUACUACCCACUUUGAGACGACAGUUCAAGAUGUACUUUCAAUGUAUACAAAAAUUACUGGCAAGGUUAGUUGUUUCAUCAGUCCUCAUCGUUGUAAAAUCAGCAUAUAUUUAGCCAAGACUUAGUACUCUCAAGAUCUUAUAUCUGCAUAUUUCAUAUUACAGCCAACUGACAUUUGUAGCACCAUGAAAUUCCCGCUCUAUUUUAGGGGAAUGUGACCCCAGUUUGGUUUCAUACAUCCCAUAUUAUAUCAGAAGCAUAAUUAAAUGGACUUAUUAAAACAGGGUCGUAUCUUCUUAAACACCAUUCUACCUAAAUAGACACUGAUAAUUGUUUUUUUUUUUUUUUUUUUUUUUUUUCAAAGUAUUGCCAGUGUAUCUGACGUGGUUAUUCUAUAAACAUGACAUUUGGAUCGUUGACAUGACGGCUUUCGUGGAUGACUACAGAACCUUGAUCUGAGCGUGGACUUAAGUGCAGCAAGCGCUGCUGAGGAGUAGAGAGAUGGGUGUUUCAUACAAGGUAUUUUCUCCAGUGGACCAAGGAGUGCCUCUAAAUACCCCAAACUCAAUUGUUAAAUACUUUUGUGAAAGGCGGUUUACAUUUACAUGUUUUUCCAAUGACGUAAGCGGAAAAAUCUUUUCCGCAAGCCAUCAUUAUCAUUCGACAUCGUUUAUCGUAGUGACCAUCGGUUUUUCUUAAAUGGAUGCAAAGGAAAUUUCCUCACUAUCAAGUUUUGAAUCUUGUUGGCACAUCUGCGUUAAUAUGGUUACACGCCUCCUUGGCAACUAUCACUUUCAUGUGAUUAUAGAUGCAGUGUUAACUCGAAGCUAGAUGUGAUAAGCAGUGGGCCCAUCAUUGCCUUUCCUGUGGAAAUGAAUGCUUCUCAACCUUCUUCCAUCACUUAUGUUAUCUACAAAAGAGCAGCUCUUAAAAGGUUUUUGAAAGAUUUCUUAUGGUAAAAUUAACUAGAAAAUCUUGAGCUACAUUCCCUGUGGAGAUCGGGUAGAACAGACCUUAAUAUUUAUACAGGGUUGUUGCAAACAAUAACAAGAUGCUCUUACGUAUAAGGAAACAGAUUAUGUAACUGAAGCACUGGAAUGUAUCAAAGCUUUGUUCUUUUAAAAUCACUAAUUCCGUUGGGGUGGCAAAUUGAGUAUUAUACUUUGGUACAAGUGUAGUAUUAUACUGUAGUAUUACGUGGUGACUGUUUAGAUGUUUACAGGUGUUCUAGUUGCAUCAAAACAGAAAUGAUGUUUAUCUUUAGAGAACAGGACUUCUUUAUUAUUAUCGUAAGUAGGGAAAUUUUAUUGGCUACAUGGUUCUGCAAAAACAUUGUACUCAAAUUAUUCUAACUAAGCUUUUUACUGAUUACUUAAGUAAAUGUUUAUACACCAUGCAAAGUGUUAUGUUCGACAACUUUCCCUUCUUUGUUUCUUUUUUAUCUUAUAAAUACUGCAUGAUAUUUUGAUUUAUUUUUUCUCUUCUUAAUUUUGUAUUCUUAAUUUUAUUGAGCGUGUUAUUUAAGUCAAUAGUAAAAAAAAACAUGUAGAAUACAAGAAUUAAAAAUUAAAUUUAACACUAAUAUAAACAUGUAAAUGUCUUGUGUUAAAUUGAACCUAUAUUCUAAGAGUACUACUGAAUUUAAUUCAUUUCUAAACAGGCGCACAAUAGUAUACUCAAUAAUUAAAAGAAAUAUAUGUCCAUAAGCACACAACAAAAGAAUAAAAGAACAUAGACCAAAUUUUUUUCAAUAUAUGAAAGAAUUAGAAUAGGUUUAAUGCUAUUGAUAAAAAGAUUUAUGUUUGAAUGUCUUGGACUAUCUCACAAGUUAUUAUAUCCUAAUUAGUUAAAAGUGUAAUAUAUUGCAUUAGAUUAUUUAUAAAAUAAAGUGGGUUUUGAUCCGCAAUUAUAAUAAGAUGGCACAGUUCUUGAAUUACUCCAUCGUUCACUAAUAAUAUAUUUUGAAAAUUUUAGUUUUUUUAGAUUGAACUAUUCACUUAAAAUAGAGUCCUUAUUAUCUUACUGCACGUAUAUUAGAUGUCCUUUAUAAAAACAAAUACUUAGUAUUGAAACAUACGACAUUGUUGCUACUGUUACAAAAAGGACAAGAAUAUAAACAUAUUGUUAAAUUUUUAUUUUUAUUUUUUAAGCCUUCUUUUUGGCCUGUGGAAUGGUGUUUAGUGUAUACAUGCAUAUAUUUGUUUUAAGAUUAAUAAUAAUAGGGUUUGCUUGCACAUUAUAAACAUCACCUCUAACUUGGAUCUCCAUAUUACGAACAAUUGCAGAAAAAUAUCUUAUUAUAUGAGCUAAAGGAUGUACAUGUAAUAGAUUGUAACAACUGGAAAUAAGCUCAAUUAAAAACAAACCUGUAAUUCAUCUCAAUGUGGCCUUAAUUUGUGCAAAUAAAAAAAAUAUAUAUAUAUAUAUAUAUAUACCUCAUUAAUAUGCUUGCAAAGCUUCUAAAUAAAUCAAUUGUAAAAUAUCUUUUGAGUUUUUUUUAAAAAAAAUUAAUAAUAAUAUUAAUUUGAAAUAUUUAAAUAAUGAACUAAUAUUUAUUUAAAUAAAAUAAAAUAAAAUAUAAAAACUUUAUAGCAUUUUUUUAAAAAAUUGUUAGAGUUUAAGUUUUGAAAAAAGUUAUAUUUAAUAUUUUUACAGGGUAAGUUUUUUACUAAAUUUGUGUAUUUUAAAAAUAAAAAAGACUUCAUUUUACAUAUAUAAUAGUUAUAAAUUACAAAUUUAUAUAUUAUAUUUUUAUUUACAUUUAUUUUCAUGAUUUUUUUUUCGUUUUGAAAUAUUAUUUGAAUUUAAAAUAAAUUGUAAUUUUAAUAGAUGUAGACUUAAAACCACAGUCUAUUAACAUUUACAAUUCAUUUUUAAAACUAAAAACGUUUCUGAUUUCAUUUUUCUUAAAAUUUUAUCACAAUGUUGCUUAACAUCAUCAUAUAAAAUUGUAAACUUGGAGUAUAAUUCCAAAAACACGCACAAAGACAACUUCCACAAAUCAAUCAGAGGCAGACAAUUAUCCUAAUUGCUUUAACACCCACAUGGCUCUACUUUUCCCUCAAAAAAAUUGCAAAAAUACCAAUCAGUAAUUGAAGCCAGACAAAGUUCACUUUCAUACAACUCAAAAGUUGGCUCUGAAAAGCAUAUGGCACAUUUCUACUACAUUGGCCUUAUCAAACUUUGCCUCUGAGCUUAAAUGGUCCUUGCUGGUACACACCUAAAAUUUCAAGUGUUGGACGUGUGUAAAAGUGUUGGAUCUAACUUGAACUUUACUAACGGAAAGAAAGAAUUUCUCACUUUCUAGACCUUGAAACCACUUUCUACUAGGUGCAAAUUGAGUACAAUCUUAAUAAUGCAAAGCUUUACAGAUGACCACCAUCUCCAAAGAGAAUGCAGUAGGGUCCAUGGAUUUGAAGUUGUGGCAGGGGAAUGUGUAGAGGGCUUGCAGCAGAAUGUGCAGCUGAACAAGACAUUUGCCAGUGUUGGCAAAAACUAGUCUAGAGAAAACCUUUCGGAUUCCGAUCGUUGGUAACCACGAUGCCAUGUGUGUGUCGCAGCAUCACAAGACUGGGCAGGAAAGACUACGCCAGUGCAAGGAUCUGUACACUGAUGCAUGAGAGUGAGGCUCUUGAAUAGAGCAAGACGAGAUAAUCUUUGGCACUGCUGUGGUUGCGCGGCUCACCGAGAGUACACUCAACACUAAAAAAGAGUGUUCCCUGUGGAUACACCACAAUAUCCCUCAAAGUGAAGAGUUGGUUAUGCCAUCCGUUCGAAACUUCUUCAACCCGUGCUUCUUAUACUAUUGACUGGGCUCUAUGCUGAAUGUCGCAUUUAGUCACGAUUGUGAAGAGAGACUUGGAGGACAUGAUUGUUCCUCGCAUCUGAAUUGUUUUUGUUCUUUUCAGACAUCACGUAACAGCUGGCGAUGAGUUAACAAUAGGAGUGUACGUAAAAUACAUCAAGUUCAUAUUCAAGUUCAUGCAAAUACCAAAAGGUAUGUAAUAUGUACUGGAACUACACUGAACUAAUAUCGAAGAACUUAGCUCGUAAAACCAAUUCGUAUAGACGAAUUAGUGGCAAGGGCCUCCAUUCUGCCGCCGCUGACACUUACGGUGUCGAUGUGGUUACCAAGACGAAGGCUCUGUCGGAGAGGAAAUGACAAAUUGCACUCGCUUAGAGCAAGUCCCAUGCUCAUGAGAUGAUGGAAUCAGAGUGAUGCUUUUUCUUCAGUCUCGGUUUCAUGCUCCUUGGAAACUUCAGUAUCAUUCUCGACUCCAUCCUCAACUGCAUCCUUCUCAUCACGCUCGGUUGUAAACUUUACUUCAGUCUCAGAUUUGGGAUCCUUCUCUUCUUCAACACUGUGUUCUGUAGCUCCACCUUCGGCACGGAAAAGCUCCUCUCUGUCCUCAGAUUGAUGCUUGGCAUCAUCCUUAAUGUGAUCCUUCUCUUCAUCCCCAGUGUUACUUCUAUCCUCACCAGUGGAACUUAUCUCUUCAACAUCAAUGUGAAGCUUUCCAGCAUCAUCUGUCUCAAGCUUCACUCCAUCUUCAGCAUUGGAAUGCUUCUCGUCUUCCUUGACCUCAGAAUGCUUCUCAGCAUCUUCGGCGUAAGAAUGCUUCUCUUCUUCCUUAAUCAUGGAAUGCUUUUCACCAUCUUCGACUAAGUGCUGAUCUGCGUCCCCUGUUUCAUGCUCCUCAGCGUCCUCAGUUUUAGGUUUCUCUACAUCCUCCACCUUCGAAUGCGUUUCUACAUCCUCGACCUGAGACUGUUCAUCAUCAGUGUGAUGCUUUUCCGCAACCUCAGCAUUGGGCCGCCUCUGUUCAUCCUCAGCUAAAGUCUUCCCAGCAUCAUUAACUGUGGAAUGCUUCUCUCCAUCCUCGGUUACUUGCUUCCCAGCAUCCUCACCGUUGAGUAAUGGAAUCCCCUCCAGCUCAGUCGUACUUUCCAAACCAUUGUCGACAUUGUCCGAGCCUUUGAGUUGAUCCUCAACUGUGUGCGUGGUCUUGGACGACACUGUCUCGCCAUUUUCAACAACCUGCUCCACGACUGUCACGGACAGAUCACCAGCGUUAAGAGAACUUUGGAUGUCUUUCUGUUCCUUCCCCACCUCAUUGAAGAGUUCCUCCGGACUUGGAAGUGCUGCAACACCCUGCGUCGGCGGUUGUGGUGGACUGUUCAUGACUGCUUCCAGCGACUUUACAUCUUCGUCUUUCACUACAGUAGUGGGCUCAGAGCUGUCAAGGGUGGUUGACUUGUCAUCGCUCUCCACCACUGCCUGCAUUGGUGGCGAACUUUUGGAUGCAUCAUUUCCAUUCAAUGGUGCUUCCAGAGACUUCAGCUGUUCUCCAUUACUUUUCUCAGAUUUUCCUCCCUUAAGAACUGAGAUAAUCUUACUCACUAAACUUAAACCGACCACAGUAGCCACUCCAAUGACCACUCCUCGCUGAGUACUAAGCCCCUGUUUCCUCCCGCUGCCAAGUCUCCGCUCAGUCUCCAUCGCACUUCAACAAAAAUGGGAGAUCCUCUCUGAGAUAAAUUACCAGCGGACCUUCCAGGGCAGCCUGACCCACAGGAUAGUUGAGUGUGAGAUUCGAAGCCUGACGGAGAGGUGAUAAAAUUAUUUCGCGGAGAGUUUCCUUAAGUUUCGGAUAUCAGAGCCGCACCAUUCUGCACAGGACAACAAUUCAAUUAAAGCCUCGUUCGAUAACCUAAACCUCGCUACCUUCAUCACCUAAAAAUGCUUACGAAGACGAAAGUCCCAAGGCACAUUCACAAAUUCCCCGCUCCUCUUACCGCACAAACCUCCAGUCCAGUGCAGAGAAGAAAGCCAAACCAAAAUGCGCACAUACAAAAACGCAGCGCCAUCAAUGAGGCGAACACAUUUGGAGCGACACCGCAACCACAAAGUUUCAAAAAACCACAUGAGAUUCCUAAACCCAGCACAGGGAACUUACAAUCUAACCACACGGAGCUAGUGACGACAAUGCCCUUCCACAACGGACUCUCUCAGCCCACACGGUGCGGCACAAUGGCCACACAAUAAUCCUCAGGAGAGAAAUCAUCACAAUCCAGCAGCAAACGUACCUGAGGGGGCGGGGGACUGCGCACAAAGGACUAGGCACAGCGCUCAAGCUCUCCUCAACACGGGAUCCAUGGAGAGGGGAGAACUGCAUAGCAACGAAACCCACAAAGCGAUCGAUCAAUCCAUCGACAUAGAAUGGCAAAGUCAGUGAGUCGCGUGCACAAUCUUCGUGUGGCGUCUCAUCCACAGAGGUGGAGAGGAUACCGGUACUUUGUUGUUUUUUAUUUUGUUGUUUUUUGUUUUGUUUUGUUGCUGAGAGAUUGGGUUCCAAGGGGAUAAGGUGCCCUUCCCUUCCGUAAACGCCAAUGCUUCUUCGAGAUUCUGUGAGCCCCAUCAAAUUCCUCUCUUUCGCCUCCUCCUCGUGGAUUUUUGGGUUGCGCGUGAGUCUCCGCCGCGGGGGCGUCCCCAGCCUCUCAUCGCCCCCUUCGAUGCCUGCCACCCUGGCAUCCGUGACGUGGCGUAUCGUGUGGAUUGCUCGUACGCCACGUGGAUUAUCAUCGUACGGUUUAGGGGACUGACACGCGGCGGAAAUCGGUCCCAAGGUUCUGGUUUUAGGGUUUGGGGUGUGGAUUUUGGGUAUUCGAAUGGAUAAAUAUCUGGGCAUAUUUUAGGGGUUUAGGGAUUCUUUUUUUGUCUUGCUACUGCGGGGGAGGGGGAGAGUUCUAUUCACACCUGACCCAUUUUUAUAAAAUCAAUUCAGUAUGCUGGAAUUGAUUUUUGAAGGACUUAUUCAUUUUGUAAACUUGAAGUGAAAUCACGGUGACGAUUGCGACACGGCCUUGGGAUUCCAACUGCCUAUUGAAAAACAAGUAAACUUUUGGUUGUGUUUUACAAGACGAUAUUUCAUAUUUUCAUAUUUAAGAUUUUAUAGACCGCAUUUGAAUUUUAUUGGACGACAAGAAAUGAUUGGGAUUUGAGUGGUUUGAAAGUGGAAAACCUCUAAAGACUAGAAUCUGUAGUACGGAUUAUUGUGACUACGAAUAUUCCCUUUUCACACAAGCAUAAAAAUAUUUUAUUGAUUUGUUUAUUUAAUUUUGGAUAACAAUUGAAAAUAAUCAAAACUACAGACUUCAAUUGUAUUCUUUGUUUACAGAACAAAAUUUAAUUUAAGUUAAAGUGGACCUUUUAAUGUCAUAAAUAAAUAUCCAAAAUUUAUGUAUGCAUGUUUAUAAUCAUAUUCUAUUUUUUAAAAAACCAUAUUUUAUUAUACUAUAUUAUGAUUGUAUAUAUAUAUUUAAAUAUUUAUUUAUAUAUUCAUAAUUAUAAUUUAUUUCCAUUCAACUACAAAUAACAUUUAUUUUAUUUUUUAUUUAUUCUUCAUACUACAUUUAAAAGACAACUCAUUAUUUCAUUAAAACUUAAUUUAAAUUUAUUUCAAUUUGUUGGUCUUUUUAUAAUAAAAGAUAAAAAAAUUAAGAUUAUAAUACUAAAUCAUAUAUUUUUUUAUUUUUUUAUUCUUAUAAAACAUUAGAUUCUUUCAUUUAUUUUGAAAUACUAACAAUAUAAUGUAUAUAAAUGCAUGUAUAUAUAUAUAUAUAUAUAUAUAUAUAUAUAUUUAUUUAUUUAUUUUAAUAGAAAGAUUACAACACCAACUUUUUUUGGGUUUGAAUACUACUUAACUUUUAUUGAAAACUUCUCUAUAUAUGCAAUUCUUUGUCUUUUCCAAAGAAAGAGUGAAUGCCUCUAAUUUUUUAAGAUUUUUUUCAUAUUUAGAUUAAAGUUUAGAUAAGAUACAAGUUUUGCAUCUUCUAAUUUGAUUAUAGAAGAAAGUACCUCUCUUCUAAAUUCAAUCAAUAUCUUGCUACUAAUGAUAUUUAAUAGCAACUCACCAUUGCCUAUACUUUGUAGCAAAGUGGUAUAGCAAAACAUAAAAACUAAACACUCUUCAAUGCAAUAUGGUGUAUGCUCCACAAAGCCAAAUGAACAAAACCAUAUUGUAGUGAGGCAGUCACUUGUGUUAAGUACCUUUAGAAUCAAAGUCCUACAAAAGCAUUUCAUUGCAAGAAAAAUCAAUUCAAACUUUGGUAUUAUAAAAAAAUCUCAUAUCUUUCACUAACAAGUUUUUUGAAGUAAAUGCUUCACUAAGUUCUUGGAUGUUAUUUGAGUAAAAUUUGAUAAUAAAUCUUGUGAAUGCAUCCUUUUUUGAUUAUAAAUUCUAAAAUAUUAGUAACAAAAUGGAUGUUUCUUAUAAUGUCAUGUUUUAGGAAGAACUUAUCUAUUGUUUUUUUCUUGCUUCUAUUGCAAACUUUUAGUCAAACCAAUGUUUUUACCAAUCAAGUGGCUCUUCACUAUCUAUUACAAUUACUUCAACUUCUGCUUUAUAUAGUCCACAAUUCCACCAUCAUAACUACUAGGUUCUAUAUUUUGUAACAAAUCAUAAUUCUAUUGUCACAUCAACAUGUAAUUUUACUUCCAUAAUAAUUGCAACUCCAUUGUUCUUGCAAUCCAUGCCCUCUUCUACUUUCAAUCAAUUGGAGAUUGUCCUUCCACUUACAACUACAAUUCUUUCAACAAUAGCUUUAUUUACGCUUAUUUUUUAUAUAAAAAAUCCCUCUCGACCUCAAGGCUUGCUAGCAAGUCUAUGCAACCUUCCAGCCUUCUCUUCACAACCUCACUUUCUUAUGAAGGGUCCUUGUAUAGCCAAUUCUUUACUUCACUUUAGUUAGUUAUUCAAUCCAUAUUUAAGGUUGGAUGUGAUGCCACAUAUUUGCCAACAUGACUAACUUUCUUGCACAUCUUAGCAAUCAGCUUCAAUUAGUGUUAAUACUAAGGACUUUCUUCCAUUAUUGAUUCCACCAUCAAUACUACUCCAAUAGUCCUUUUGUACUACAAAGGAUGUGCUUCUUUUUUGUGAUUUUGCAAAAAACUAUGAUAUUGCCUUGUUUUAACUUUGUAAUGCCAUUUCAAGUUUUCUAGCUCCGAACGGGCUUUGUUCAUCAUAAUUGAAGUCUCUCUAAAAUCCACAAUCUAUAUCCAAGUAGCAAACUCUCUAUAUACUUUCUAAUGGCAAUAAGCUAUAGUAGAUGAAUCCAACUUAUAUGUGGCCAAUAGUACCUAAAUUUUCACAAAAUUACAAUAUAUCUGCCAACUUAUAACUUAUAAAUGGAUUUUAAAAAUCAAACUAAAAAGCUUUGCCUAAUUAAAAUGAUUCAAAUCAAGAUUGAUUGCUUGCAAAUUCAAGUGGAUUUUUGACCUAGAUUACAAAAAAAAAUAAUCUUAUUGAUUGUUAGCAUUUAAUCUAUUUGAUUGUUUCUUGCUAUGGUUGUUGAGCUAAAUUUACAUGUCCAUUAAAUGGACAAUAAGACAAUCUUUUUAAAUAAUUUACUUCAAGAUGAGAUUUACAUAAAGAUUCCAAAAGGCGUCACCCUUCCAUAUCUUAACUUAGUCUAUCAACUUCAAAAUACUAUUUAUGACCUCAAACAAUCUAUCUACAAGUGGUUCAAAGUUAUUACUUUAUUUCUCACCACUCUUUGAUUUAUAAAUUCAACAACAAAUGGCAUUGUCUAUUACUUUAAUUACAACCAAAAAUUCUAUACUCAAGUUAUAUAUGAAUGAUAUCCCAAUUGCAAGUAGCAAUUUUCUUCUAUUUCAAACUAUUAAAUACCAACUCUAAUCUUUGUUCUUACUAUCUGAUUUGGAUAAAGUACACUACAUCUUAAGCCUCUAAGUCACUCACAAUCUCUAUGUCAUGGACAUACAUUGGAAGAUUCUUCGAAUAUUCUUUUAGAAUAUUCUCUAAAGAUUCUCUAAAGAUUCCUUUAGAAGGUUCUAGAAGAUUCUUAGAAUAUUCCCUAAAGAUUCUCUUAGAAGGUUCUAGAAUAUUCUUAGAAGGUUCUAAAAUAUUCUGAUAGAUUCUAGGAAGUUGCUCGAGAAGUUUCAUAAUUAGUAGAAGUUGUUGGAGAAGCGUCCUAGUUAGCGGAAGUAGCUCGAGAAGCUUCCUAUUCAGUAGUAUAUAUAGGAGUCGAGGCUGAAGGGUUCUUCAGUCUCGACAACACAUCUCUUGGAGUUCUAGCUCACCUUUCUGGUGUUGUUCUUGUACUCAUCUGUUUAAUCUAGUUCUGCCACUUCUUCUUGAACUUCUUGUUAGAUUUCAAGUCUGUAUUUUGUGUCCGUGACAGUUUGUCGAGACUGCAUUUUCACUGGUAUCAGAGCUAGUUCCUUCUUGUUAGAGAGUGGAUUACCCCUCUUCUUGAAGGUGUGCUAGUGUUUUAGAGGUUGCGGAUUACCCUCCUCUAAACUAAUAUCUCUUCUUUCUCAAUAUUGGAGCCUUAUUCUUCUUGGAGAGAGUGGAUUACCCCUCAUCUUGGAGUCUUAAGGCGUUUUAGAGGUUGCGGAGUACUCUCCUCUGAACCAAUAUUGUCCUCUUGUCAAAACUCUUUUUUCUUCUUUCUGAAGGUUAGCCGAAGGUUAAGACGUUAAAAUGGCUGAAAGUUUGGAAUCCAAACUAGACGCCAUCAUAAAUGCUCUUACCUUGUUGUCACAUAGGACAACAGAGAUCGAAGGAGUCAUGGUAGGACUCCAUAAUAAUGGAGCAUCUGGGAUAGCGCCAUCUAAAGCAUAUCAGCCUCAAACUUCUGCGCCAGAAGAAGCAGUUCUACCUCCAUUUCAACAAGAUCGAGUAGUCCUACAACGAAAGGAGCCUCGAGUUAGUCUUCCGGAUAAGUUUGAUGGAACUCGUUCCAAGUUUCGAGGUUUUGUCAACCAAAUCAGGUUGAUAACAAUUUUACAGCCCGAACGUUAUCCGACGGAGGAAGCGCGUGUUGGGCUUGUUGGAACCUUGCUUACAGCACAAGCUCUGUCUUGGUUUACUCCCUUGUUCGAGAAGCGAUCGCCAAUCCUGAGCAACUUUGAAACGUUCUUGGAGGCGUUUGCAGAAGCAUUUGGCGAGCAUGAUAAAGUUCGAUGGGCUACAACAAAGAUCCGAUCGCUACGACAAGGAAUACGCUCUGCAUCAGUCUAUGCCUCGGAUUUCAGACAAUUGGCAAGUGACAUUAAUUGGGGUGAAGAGGCGUUGGUGAGUCAGUUUUAUUGGGGCUUCAAGGAUGAUGUGAAGGACUUGCUGUUAUCUCUUCCUGAUCCUCAAACGCUCAACGAAGCUAUUAGCCAAGCUGUAAAGUGUGACAACCGCCUAUUCCAACGUCGCCAAGACCAACGUCCAAGACACCAAAUGACUCGUUACGACGUGACUAUGUCUGCAAAUAGCUUAAACUCACAUUCGGAGGCAACAGACAUGCAAAUCGACACGGCGCGUGUCCGAUCUCUUACUCCAACAGAGAAGAAACGGCGUAUGAAGGAAGGGUUAUGUUUGUACUGUGGAGAAGAAGGUUACAAGGUUGGAAAUUGCCCAAAGAAGCAAAAUUGGCACCCUGUCAAGACUAGAAGUGCGAUGAUUUCGGAAAACGACGACGCCUAGCCACAGUAGGAACCGUGCGGCUAGACAAUCUAAUAUCACGACAACAAUCAGGUUCCUCCUUCUCUGUCCAACCUGCCCGUUGCUUUACAAUUCCUUUGUUUUUAGGCCCUCAAAAACAAAAAACUUUAGCUUUAUUGGAUUCGGGGGCAUCUACUUGUUUUUUAGAUGAAGAGUUUGCUAAACGCCACAAGAUCCGUUUAGUACAGAAGUCCAAACCUGUUCACGUAGAGGUGAUAGAUGGACGACCCUUAUUGUCAGGCAACGUUACCCACGAAUCAGAACCUAUAGAAGUGGUGUUUAAGGACCAUAGUAGUCACGUUAUUUUUAAUAUUAUUAGAACCCCAUCAAGCCCUGUUAUCCUUGGUCUUUCUUGGUUAGAAGAUCAUAAUCCGUCCAUUGAUUGGAGGCUACGAAGGAUAACAUUUCCUGAAAAAAAUAAUAAUAAACCUGUUGGUAGAACCUACAUGAAGAAAUCCAUGUUUAUUGGAGCGAGAGCGUUCCUAAGAUCGUCCAAGGAAGGUGCACCAUUUGUCAUUUAUGCAGCUCCAACUAGCGGCGAGAAUAUCUCAACAUCGAAUAUACCAGAGCAAUAUAGGGAUUUUGAAGACGUGUUUCAGAAGAAGAACGCCGAUAUACUGCCGGAACAUCGACCAUAUGAUUGCGCCAUAGACUUGGAGGAAGGAGCGCAACCACCUUUUGGUCCAAUAUACAACCUAUCGCAGACGGAGUUGGCAGAAUUGCGGAAGUACAUCGAUGAGAAUCUAGCCAAGAAUUUUAUUCGACAUUCAAAGUCGCCAGCUGGAGCACCAAUCCUAUUCGUGAAGAAAAAGGAUGGCUCACUGUGGAUGUGCGUGGACUACCGAGGACUCAACAAGGUGACCAAGAAAAAUCGCUAUCCCUUAUCUUUGAUCUCUGGCCUCCUAGAUCAACUUGGACGUGCAAGGAUUUUUACAAAGAUUGAUUUAAGAGGAGCCUACAACCUUGUGCGAAUCAAAGAAGGAGAUGAAUGGAAGACAGCCUUUCGUACAAGGUAUGGCCAUUUUGAGUACAAUGUCAUGCCUUUUGGUCUUACCAAUGCUCCAGCGGUCUUUCAACAUAUGAUGAAUGACAUCUUUCGGGAGUACCUCGAUGACUUUGUUGUCAUCUAUCUGGAUGAUAUUUUGAUAUUUUCCAAGAAUGAAGAAGAACAUGAGAAGCACGUUUGUUUGGUUCUUGAAAAACUACGCGAACAAGGACUCUACGCCAAGUUGGAGAAGUGUCAAUUUCACCAGAAUGUGUCAAGGACAAGAACUCGAUGAAAGCUAAAGAGUAAGUGAGACUUUUCUCAAAGAAAUAGGACAAAAUAGAAAUAUGUAUAUUAAGAAAGAAACUGGAAUGGCUAUUGCCAAAAUACAAGAAAACUAGAGACCCUUGAAACUAGACUAGAAGCUAGAAAGGAGUUGAGAAGAGUGAAGAGGGCUUCACUCUUGCCUCUAUAUAUACUAUCUAACUAGAAGCCACGUGGCGAUGUUCUAUAAGACCUCCAAUAUAUGUUGACUUUCUAGGCCACAUGCCUUUGCUUGCAAGGCAAGUUUUCUAUGGAUGGACCACAUAGUUAUCUUGUUCUUUAAGCUUCCAACAUGUGUGGCACAUGGCUAACUUAUUGACCAAGUUUCUAGCCUAAAAGUCAACUAUAGACUCCUAUAAAGUCAAAGCAGCGUCUAUGAAGCUUCUAAGAAGCUUCUCUAGAAGAUAUUACAUAAUUAACCUACUUUUAUCUACUUUUACAUACUUUGAUGUAUUCAUAUAGGUAAUUAUAUGUAUGUCCGUGACAUUACCUCCCCUUCUAGGGACGAGUUCCACGAGGAGCGGUGAUUAUAUAUUGAGAAAAUCUAAUAUGCGGCGAAUUGUAUUUGCUACAUACUCUGAUCUUUGUUCUCUUCGAAGAUAGUUGAUGGGUCCUCUUAGCCAUCGAUAGUGUCCCAUUCCAGGGCGAGAAGACCACCCUGUUAUUUGAUCACUGUUGAGGCCUUCAUAACUUCCUUCAAAUAAUACAUUUGAAACACCAUCAGGAGUCGUUCCUAUCUCCAAUAAUAUCACCAAACAUCGAGAAUCUCUUCCAAGGUCGUGAUACCAAACGCGUUGUAUCUCACCAUCUAUUCGAGGAAGAACAUGUCGUUCUUGAGGGUCUUCAUCUCGGUUGCGUCGUCUUGAAGGUUGUGACAAUCGCAAUGUCUCAUCCGGUAAGUCAGCAAACGAAGGUUCUUGAGUUGAAUCCGCUGGUUGUUGGCUCUCCAUCUAAUUAGCGUCACAAAAUGCAAAGAAGUUACAAACAAGGAUAGGAAAUUGAAUGUUAUCUUGCCUCAAUCUUGUCUCUUUUAUAAGAGAGAUUUUCAUCUUGGUCUCGAUGGAUGUCGUUGAUGAAAAACUUUGACUUUAGCUGAUGCAUUUGCUAGAUUCCUGGAUGGCUCCCAUGUGCGCUCACUAAUAUCAUAUCCGCGCCAAUGAACAAGAUAUUCCAGCUUAUUUCGGCGCCACCUUGAGUCUAAUAUCUCUUCCACCUCAAAUUCUUCAUUAUUAUCUACUUCUAUAGGAGGCGGUGGCAUUUGUCUUCUUCCUUGUAUAUCCACUGUCUUAUAUGGUUCAAGAAGAGAUACGUGGAAUAUAGGAUGGAUCUUCAUUGACUCCGGUAGAUGUAACCAAUAUGCAACUGGGUUGAUCUGUUCAGAAACAGAAAAGGGGCCAAGCCUACGAUAGUCCAACUUGUCACAAGGUCGAGUAGUCUUGAUAUUGCGACGAAGUAGCCAUACCUUAUCACCCACGUUGAUUUGUGGUUGCUCCUUACGAUAUAGAUCUGCGUUUAUCUUUUGUCGUUCUUGAGCUUCCUUCAAUUGUGUCUUCAUUAUUGCAUGUAACUCUGACAACCGAUUUGCCAUAUCUUCUGCUGCAGGAUUAUCAACUUUUGAAAAAUCAAAAGUAUCAAGUCGUGGAUGAUAGCCAUAAUUGGCAAAGAAAGGUGUUUGUUGCAUGGAAGAAUGUACCGUAUUAUUAUAAGCAAACUCUGCCAAUGGCAGAAGGGUUGUCCAAUCAUCUUGUUGGUAGUUGAUAGUACACCUUAAAUAUUGCUCCAAGACUUGGUUUACGCGCUCUGUUUGUCCAUCAGUUUGAGGAUGGAAAGCUGAAGAUAGCUUUAUGUCCACUUUUAAAAUCUUGAAAAGGGUCCUCCAAAAUCUUGACACAAAUUGAGUUCCCCUAUCCGAUAUGAUAUCUUUAGGUAAUCCAUGAUAGCGAUAGAUAUUAUCAAUGAAAAGCUUAGCUGUUUCUUCACCUGUGAUAGAUUUUGUACAUGGCACAAAAUGUGCCAUCUUGGUGAAACGAUCUACUAUCACAAAUAUAGAAUCAUAAGAUCUUGAGCUUGGAAGAUCUGUGAUGAAAUCCAUAGAAACAGAAGACCAUGGUUGUUCUGGUAUAGGUAAUGGCUGAAGAAGUCCGUAAGGUCGAUGACGAGGAAUUUUUGAUCUUGAACAAAUAUCACAUGAUUGUACAAAGUCUUUGACUGACUUCCACAUUUGUGGCCACCAAAAAUCUCUUGAUGUGAGUUCCAAAGUCUUAUUAUAUCCAAAAUGCCCUGCUGCUGGAAAGUCAUGACGUGCUUGAAGAACACGUAAACGUGCUUCUCCUUCUGGAACAUAUAGGCGUCCUUCAAAAUAUAAUAGAUUAUUCUUGAACUCAAACUUAGAAGGAUCAUGAGACUUGGAAGAAUUAUUCUCGAUAUCAUAAACAAGAGGGUCUGAGGACAUACUGGACUGGAUUUGCUUGAGAAAAGUUGAAUCAACAGUCAAUGUUGAUUUCAUUGCUCGGAGAUGAAAUUGCUCCGGUUUCAAGAGGACCGUUCUUUGUUGCUCAAAAGCUGCAUCUCCUUCUUUUGGUGCAAAAUAAGAACGUCUAGAUAGGGGAUCAGACAAACCUUGUUGUUUUCCUGGCCGAUAAGUGAUAAUGAACUCGAAUCUUGACAAAGACAUACUCCAACGAGCUUGACGACGAUUCAAAACGCGUGCUGACAUGAAAUACUCGAGGUUCUUGUGAUCUGUAUACACAGUGACUGGACUAGAAGCGCCUUCUAGAUAAUGACGCCAUUCUUGAAAGGAAUCCACGAUCGCAAGAAGUUCUUUAUCGUGGAUCUCAUAAUUGAUCUCGGCUGCUGAGAAUUUUCUUGAAUGAAAAGCUAUCGGAUGGAGUUUGUCAUCUGUUCCCAUUUGUGAUAAAAUUGCACCCAAGGCAAAAUCUGAUGCAUCUGUUUCCAUAAAAAAUGCCUUGGAAAAGUCAACACGAUAUAAGACUGGUGCAGAGACAAACGAUGUCUUCAAGGCUUCAAAUGCUGCUUCCGCUUCUUGAUUCCAUUGAAAUUUAUCUUUACUAGUCAAGCGUGUAAGUGGAGCUGCAACUCGUGAGAAGUCUUUGAUGAAGAUCCGAUAGUAAUUGGCAAAUCCCAAGAAACAUUGGACAUCUCUUACAGUUUUUGGAAUCUUCCAAUCCAUGAUUGUUUGGACUUUCUUAGAAUCCAUCAUAAGACCAUCAUUUGAAAUGAUGUAUCCUAAAAAGUCAACUUGAGUAGUGUGAAAUACACACUUUUCUAUCUUGGCGUACAAUCCUGCAUCUCUAAGUUUUUGUAAUACUUGACGAACAUGUAUUUCAUGUUCUUCAACAUUCUUAGAAUAAAUCAGGAUAUCGUCUAGGUAGCAGACGACAAAAUUGUCUAAGAAUUCACGAAAUACAUCAUUCAUGAGAUGUUGAAAAGCAGCUGGUGCAUUCGUGAGUCCAAAAGGCAUGACAUUGUAUUCAAAGUGUCCGUACCUGGUUCGAAACGCAGUCUUCCAUUCAUCUCCUUCUUUGAUCCGUACUAGAUUAUAUGCUCCUCUUAGAUCUAUUUUUGUAUAGAUCUUAGCUUGAUUUAACUGGUCAAGGAGUCCUGAUAUCAAAGGUAAUGGAUACCUGUUCUUGAUUGUGAUCUUGUUGAGUCCUCGAUAGUCAACACACAUUCGUAAAGAUCCAUCUUUUUUCUUUACGAAUAAAAUUGGAGCUCCUGCUGGAGAUUUUGAAUGGCGUAUGAAAUUCUUCGCUACAUUCUCGUCAAUAUAUGUCUUGAGUUCAGCCAACUCAUCUUGCGAUAAACUGUAAAUUGGUCCAAAUGGUGGCUGAGUUCCUUCCUUGAGAUCGAUUGAACAAUCGUAUGGGCGAUGCUCAGGAAGAAUAUCUGCAUUCUUUUUCUCAAAAACGUCUUGAUAAUCCUGAUAUUGACUUGGAAUGCCACUUGAAGUCUUUACGCUUCAGAAAUAGGUGCAGCAUAAAUAGCAAAAGUUGAUCCUUCUUUUGCUGCGUGUAUAAAUGCUUUUGCACCUAUAAGUGCGGGUUUUACUAUACUAGACUCAUGGUUUUUUACUUGAUUAAUAGAAUUGUUACUAAUGCUCCGAGGAAAAUCAAGUUUACGAGAAAUCCAAUCUAUUUGAGGAUUAUACUUUUCUAACCAUGAUAAGCCUAAAAUUACUGGAUUAGAGGGAGAUCUAAUUAUAUUAAAAAUUACGCAACUACUAUGACCAUUUAUUACUACAUCUACAGGAAGUGUUUCGUGAGUUACAUCUCCAGAAGACAACGGGCGACCAUCUAUGACUUCUACGUGUACAGGUUUAGUUUUUUGUAUUAAUGAUAUUCUAUGACAUCUAGCAAAUUCUUCAUCUAAAAAAUAAGCUGAGGCUCCUGAAUCUAGCAAGGCAGAGGCUUUGUAAUUAUUAGGUCCUAAACACACAUCUAUUAUAAAACAAGGAGAUGGUUCUGAGGAGAGGAUAGGACCUUCAUUAGAAGUUGUACAAGAUUCCAGCCGCAUGGUCCCUAUUGUAGCUGGACGUACUCGUUUUCCGACAUACUGUCUUCUUUGACAGCCGUACUCCUCAUUCUGUAGUUACGUCGCUUCUUUGGACAAUGUUGAGCAGUGUGCUUAGGUUCUCCACAAUAUAAGCACAAUCCUUCUUGUCGACGACGAGACUUUUCUUGCUCAGUAAGAGGUUUGAAACGUACCGCAUCAAUUUGCAUAUCCUCUACUUUUGAAGGUAUGUGUUGAGGAGACGUCGGUGUUGCCAUUGAAUUGUAGUAACGUUGAGGCCUACUUGUGCGACUCUCGGAUCGAAAUUCAAAAAGUCGAUUGUCGCACUUCACAGCAAAGUCAAUUGCUUGACUCAAUGUUUGAGGAUCAGGUAAAUUAAGCAUCAAUUUCUUUACCUCAUAUUGUAAUCCGUAGAGAAAUUGACUCACAAGUGCGGCAUCAUCCCACUUGAUAUCAGUUGCAAGUUGUCGAAAUUGCGAAGCAUAUAAUAUUACUGAUCGAUUGCCUUGUCGCAAAAUACGGAUCUUUUUGGUUGCAACACGAAUUGCAUCAUGUUUUCCAAACAUGGAUCGAAACUCCGCCAAAAAAGCCUCCAAAUUAUCCAAUAUUGGAUCUCGUCGUUCAAGAAAAGAUGAAAACCAUGACAAUGCUGAACCUGAAAGAAGUGUACCAAUGAAUCUAACUUGUGACCCUGGAGUUGGAUAGCUCUGGGGUUGAAGUUCAAUCACUAAUUGGACCUGAUUGAUGAAUCCUCGAAACUUGGAUCUGGUACCAUCAAACUUCUCGGGCAAGGCCACUCUCGGUUCUCUAACACUCGAAGGGUGUUCCAUUCUGGGAGAAGGGACAUGGUUUGGUGCAGAUGUUGAAGCAGCCCCAAUCAUCUCUAUAUCUUCACUUCCUACCAUUCUUGUUGCUCCUUGUGGUGGUAAAUUGAGUUGAUGCAUCGCAAGCAUUAACUCCCUCAAUUGUUCUUGCAUCUGUGCCAUUGUACUCUUCAUUUCAACAAGCUCUGCCAUAGUAGCACUUAGAAAAGAGAAGAUGUCUAAUAACGCUCAAAACAAAUAGAAGAGAGGAAUUGAUAACAAAGAAAAUACUAAGAACAAUAUCAGUUUAAAAGAGGGUAAUCCGCAACUUCUAAUGCGCUUAUGUCUUAUCAAGAAAAAGGGGUAAUCCACUCUUAAUCAAGAAAAGACAAAGCUCUCAUAUUGUAAGUGGACUCUUGUCAAUCUGUCAAGGACAAGAACUCGAUGAAAGCUAAAGAGUAAGUGAGACUUUUCUCAAAGAAAUAGGACAAAAUAGAAAUAUGUAUAUUAAGAAAGAAACUGGAAUGGCUAUUGCCAAAAUACAAGAAAACUAGAGACCCUUGAAACUAGACUAGAAGCAAGAAAGGAGUUGACAAGAGUGAAGAGGGCUUCACCCUUGCCUCUAUAUAUACUAUCUAACUAGAAGCCACGUGGCGAUGUUCUAUAAGACCUCCAAUAUAUGUUGACUUUCUAGGCCACAUGCCUUUGCUUGCAAGGCAAGUUUUCUAUGGAUGGACCACGUAGUUAGCUUGUUCUUUAAGCUUCCAACAUGUGUGGCACAUGGCUAACUUAUUGACCAAGUUUCUAGCCUAAAAGUCAACUAUAGACUCCUAUAAAGUCAAAGCAGCGUCUAUGAAGCUUCUAAGAAGCUUCUCUAGAAGAUAUUACAUAAUUAACCUACUUUUAUCUACUUUUACAUACUUUGAUGUAUUCAUAUAGGUAAUUAUGUGUAUGUCCGUGACAGAAUGAGAUGGAAUUUUUGGGCUUCAUUGCGACUACAGAGGGCUUGAAGAUGGAUCCAAAAAAGGUAGAAGCAAUUAUAUCUUGGGAAGUUCCGAAGACGGUUAGAGAUGUUCAGUGUUUUCUUGGAUUUGCUAACUUCUAUCGGAUCUUCAUCAAGAAUUAUUCUCAAGUUGCUGCACCACUCACGCGUCUAACAAGCAAAGACAAGCUCGAAUGGGGAUCACAAGCAGCAAAAGCAUUUCAAGAUCUCAAGACGGCAUUCACUACGGCUCCAAUCUUGGUACACCCUGACUUUGCAAAGGCUUUCUAUUUAGAGACCGAUGCUUCAGAUUUUGCUUUGGGAGCUGUGCUUUCACAGAUGGGCUUAGACAAGAAGCUUCACCCAGUUGCGUUCUAUUCACGGAAGUUCUCUGCUGUUGAGAUCAACUACGAGAUCCACGACAAAGAGCUGCUUGCUAUAGUGGAUGCCUUCCAAGAGUGGCGUCACUUCCUCGAAGGAGCUGCACAUCCAGUGACUGUUUAUACGGACCACAAGAAUUUGGAGUACUUCAUGACAGCUCGAAUUUUGAAUCGUCGUCAAGCUCGAUGGAAUAUGUCUCUAUCACGAUUUGACUUUAUUAUCACCUACCGCCUUGGAAAACAGCAAGGAUUAUCUGACGCAUUAUCGAGGAGAUCGUAUCUUGCGCCAAAGGCUGGAGAAGCAGCGUUUGAUCAACAAUGUACAACAUUGUUGAAACCAGAAAAAUUCAGGAUUUUUGCUACUGUUGCAACUAUCGAUGACGGCUUCCUCAGCGAGGUACGUACUGCGACCAUUGAGGAUUCUAUAGCUCUUGACAUCAAACAACGUGUCGAUAAUGACAAGUUUAAGGUGGAGGGAGAUCUUCUGUAUUUUGAGGAGCGGUUGUAUAUCCCGAAAGGACCAACUCGACUCCGAGUACUUCAAUCUUGCCAUGACUUUCCAACUGCGGGACAUUUUGGAUUCAACAAGACUUUGGAGCUCAUUUCACGAGAUUUUUGGUGGCCCCAAAUGUGGAAGGAUGUGAAGGAAUUUGUCCUUUCUUGUGAUGUUUGUUCAAGAUCCAAGAUCCCUCGACAUCGUCCGUAUGGACUUCUCCAGCCAUUGCCUAUUCCGCACCGACCAUGGUCUUCAGUUUCUAUGGACUUCAUUACGGACCUACCGCCAUCGAAUUCAUUUGACAGCAUCUUUGUUGUGGUAGAUCGAUUUACCAAGAUGGCGCAUUUCGUGCCUUGCAAGAAAACAUCGUCAAGUGAAGACACCGCAAGACUCUUUCUUAAUAACAUAUAUCGUUAUCAUGGCCUACCAGAUGAUAUCGUGUCGGAUCGAGGUACUCAGUUUGUAUCCAAGUUUUGGAGGUCCCUCUUUGAGAUAUUGAAGGUGGAUAUUAAGCUCUCUUCGGCUUUUCAUCCUCAAACUGACGGUCAAACGGAGCGGGUGAAUCAAGUUUUGGAGCAAUAUUUACGAUGCACCAUCAACUAUCAACAAGAUGAUUGGACUGCAUAUCUACCGCUUGCUGAGUUCGCAUACAACAACACUCUUCAUGCGUCAACUCAACAAACACCAUUCUUCUCCAACUACGGAUACCACCCCAAGCUCGAUUUAUUGAGUUCUUCAGCAAAUAACAACCCAGCAGCUGAAGGAUUUGUGAAGCAACUAUCGGAGCUUCAAGCGACGUUGAAGCUUCAAUUGCAAUCUGCCCAAGAGAGUUACAAGGCAUCUGCAGAUAAAUAUCGAAAUGAGGCGCCUACUUUUAAAGUUGGAAGUAAAGUAUGGCUUCUUCGACGGAAUAUCAAGACCAAGCGGCCAUGUGACAAAUUGGACUAUCGGAGAUUAGGGCCAUUUGUUAUCGGGAAGCAGAUCAAUCCGGUGGCAUAUCGUCUGGAGUUACCAGCUACUAUGAAGGUACAUCCAGUCUUUCACGUGUCUUUGUUAGAACCUUAUCGAGAGUCAGCUUUUCCCCAAAGAGUACAAAGUCCGCCACCAAGUAUCGAAAUUGAAAACCAUGAGGAAUACGAGGUGGAAAAGGUACUAGAUUCACGGCGUAAUAGAAGAAAAUUGGAGUAUUUAGUGCAUUGGAGUGGAUACGACAUCAAUGAACGAACGUGGGAGCGUGUCGAAAAUCUUGCCAAUGCGCCAAAAAAGGUACAAGAAUUUCAUCAACGAUAUCCUCAUAAACCUAAGCCGAUUCAACGAUAGCUUCUUGCUGAAGCUUGCUCAUCAAGUAGCAUAAAAAGGGAGGAGGGCACCUCCAAAACCCAUAGUUCGAUAGUGUAGAACUUUGUUAGCAACUAUAGUUUGCUCUCAUCAUUUUAGCCUUUAGACAUGGAUAGUCAAGAUACUACACUUGUUAUGUCAUCUCAAGCGACUAGCUCACGAAGACGACCGCGAGAUGAAGAACCGCCUGCACCACGACGACGUCGGAGGACACCGAGCAACAGAUCGCUAGUAAUUGUAUUUGAGGUCGAGCCUGCCUACGACGGUCAGCCAGAAGGUGUGUUUGGAGGACAGUUUCACAAUGAAGACACAGAAGUCCACGCUUGGUCAGAGGUUGAAGGUGUUGGUCACUACCGUUGGCUCCAAGGGCCGAUGAAUCAUUUGCCUCGCGAACAACAAUUGGAAUUCAUAGCGGAUGUGAUGCGACAGAUUUUCAUUUUCUUGCGUUGGUAUUGACUGAUAACAACAUUGCUUCUCGGAGACCUCGAAGCUAGAAGAGGAGGUGAUGUCAUGGACAUACAUUGGAAGAUUCUUCGAAUAUUCUUUUAGAAUAUUCUCUAAAGAUUCUCUAAAGAUUCCUUUAGAAUGUUCUAGAAGAUUCUUAGAAUAUUCCCUAACGAUUCUCUUAGAAGGUUCUAGAAUAUUCUUAGAAGGUUCUAGAAUAUUCUAAUAGAUUCUAGGAAGUUGCUCGAGAAGUUUCCUAAUUAGUAGAAGUUGUUGGAGAAGCGUCCUAGUUAGCGGAAGUAGCUCGAGAAGCUUCCUAUUCAGUAGUAUAUAUAGGAGUCGAGGCUGAAGGGUUCUUCAGUCUCGACAACACAUCUCUUGGAGUUCUAGCUCACCUUUCUGGUGUUGUUCUUGUACUCAUCUGUUUAAUCUAGUUCUGCCACUUCUUCUUGAACUUCUUGUUAGAUUUCAAGUCUGUAUUUUGUGUCCGUGACACUCUAUUAUAAUUGACUCUACAUCAUACAAAUUAUAUAUCUUUGAUAGAAUCAUAUUGAAUUUGUUUUCUUCAAAGCUUGACAUGUCUCUACUUCCAUUGCUCUUAGCAUACAUUUCUUUAUGACUGACUGCCUUUAAAUUUCCUAUGAAAGUAGAAUUGUGUAAUAUUCUUGUAUGCUAAUUUGAUUGGCUCUCUUAAUUGGGCCAAUAUAUGUACUUGCUCCAACAUUGCAUUUGUGAUUAGCUUCUUAGUACAAUACAUGCACAAUCUCAACUUAAAAUAUAGUCAAGCAUGAAAACAUAUCUUUUAAUACCUCCACAAUUCCUUUGAGUACUACAUUAAGUACUACCACACUACACUAUCUUUAUGCUAUCUAUAGAAAUUUAGUAAUGCCAAUUAGAUUAAGAAUAUCAAUGAAUGUUGCUCCAUGUUGGGUUGUUAUUUUUUCUUAUUGUAAGAUGUUCUAAGUUGAGGUUCUAUCUACCAAUAGUCCACAACUCUAUUAAGUACAAAGUUAGAAUACAUACUUAUAGCCACAAUUGCCUUCAAAGCUAUCUUGCUCCAACAUCUUUCUAUGAUCUACAUCAAAUCAAAAUCCUUGAACCAACAACUCUAAUUCACUAUAAUAAUCAAUCAGUGCUUGAUUUGGUUGAUACUACCAAAUUUUAAUUUUAAAUAAAACACAUCACUAUAUGCUAUUAUUUCAUUUGCCAACUCACCACCCUCAACAUGAUCCACUUGAAUUAUUGCCUCACCAACAAAAUGUAUGCCAAGAUUUUCAUCAAUCUAUUAUCUAAUCCAAAGCUAAUCCAACACCUCUUGUUGCUCAGCUUGCUUGGAGGAGAAGUUGACCUAUACCACAGCUUGAUUAUGAAGGUGUAUUAGAAAUUAUAAUUAAUAUUAUAUAACCAACUAAUGAUAAGUAUAGAAAAACGUGGCAAAUGUCACACCUUGUGAAGGAGUUGCUACCCUCCUAGGAUAUGGCUUUUUUUAACAAAAUAAAGACUCUAUCAAACACAUUGUUUAAGAACUUAUAAAUAUCCAAAAACCCUAAUAUUACUUAAUUCUAAAGCAACUAAGUCAUUCCAAUAGAAAUUACAACUCUAAGUUAGAUGAUUAGUUUUGGUCACUGCAAGUUGUUCAAAUGCUGGCUCUACUUUCCAUUUUAGCAUAUCAAGGAAUUGGAAUGGUUGAACCUCCAGCACUUGAUGUUGAUUCAGAGGUUUGAGUAGACAUUUGCAUGUUCGUUUGUUAACAGGAUUUUAGGAAGGUCGUCCACCGACUUUGGAAGGUAUCUUCUUUUCGAACUUAAGAAUGUCGACACUAUAAUUUUGAACAAUUGUCACCAGAUCUUAAGAAACACAGCUUGUGCACUUAUCUUUCCAAGUAAUUACCACAGAUAAAUCAUCCAGGGAGUGUUCUGGCUACUUAAUGAAUAGCAUGAAGAAGUUUUGUUGUUUUCUAGUGUUUUCAUUGUAGAUGCAUCUCUUACUGUGGGAAAUUUUGAACAAUGAAUCAAUUUUGUUAUUGUAGAGUUGCAGGUGAGGUUUAGCGUCUUCUAGAUUUCGAUAUGAUAAACUCUUUCUCAGAAACUAUCAACAACCUGAUCUAGCAUAAACAAUUAUAUGGUGAAUUAUGGGGAUAACAGCGGCAUGGCUGUUAUAGUCGGCUACUCCAUAGAACAUAUACUAAUCAUACCACUCCCAUGCGAAUAUUCAAAUCAUCAGCAAUAUCUGGAUCUAGUAGUAAUAAGGGUGGUAGAUUCAUGAAGUUCCUUGUCCAUAACAAAACUAUAAACUUCUACCUUAGAAGAAGCCUCCCGCUGCCUAUUCAUACCUUUUAAGAGAAUCCGCAACAUAGGUUCCUCACUGUUGGUGGAUCAAAGCCCUCUUGCUUGUACGGGAAAGUCUAAGCAAGCUGCGUCGUUAUGGAAAAUCAAGCAUGCAACUGCACUGGAAGAAACAUGCAUUCCUGUAAAGCUGUCCAGCGUCCCUUUGCAAUAUCAAGCUGAUGAAAUCAUAUCCACUCAGGCUUGAAGGAUCAGUACUUGGAAUGGAACCCCACCAACUUGAAUCAUAGGAUACCUUCUACAACCCAAAGCUGCCUUCGCAAAAGUUCUGUUGGUUGAGGGUAGUUUCAGAAUCAAGGCCCUAUACCAUGCAGUUGAAGCUGGCGUCGUAGCCGCACCUAUUUGCUACCUGAGAUGAUGGAGUUUACAGUUAAGAUUGUGUUUUUUGUUGUUGAUGAGCUUCAUUUCUUAGUGCGUCAUCAGAUUGAAAUCUUCCAUUCAAGUCAUACAAGAAUGAUGAGGAAAUACAUUAGUCCGUUGAUUAGAUGUGAUAUUCAAGGGAGUUAUUUCUUGGAGCAUUAUCAUAGAUAUCCUUUUCUUCUACUAUCACUUGGAAAACUUAUUGGAAAUGAACAAAGUACUCCCUCCCAAGUGUAUCAUCCAGCUCUCCAGAUGAAGACAAACAAAAUUAGUUCAUAGGCUCCUCGUGACGAAAGCCUAACUGCACCAUAAAUUGUAUUAAGGGCCACUACCGCAAAGGACAUUCAGAAUCACCAAUAUAUAAACAGUUAUAUGUGACACGCAUUUCAUCUUUGGAAAUAGAAUUCAAUUCGUAACAUGGUAUUAGAGCAUCCCUGAUCCUAAUGGGAUGAUAGGUUAUGAGAGCUUUAGAGUACAUCCAAAGAUUAGAGUAGGCAUUAUAGAGUACUGAAAAUUUUCUUCUUUCAUUCUCUUGCACCAAGAUUGGCACUAGAAUCAUGAAUUAAUCAGAGGCAAUAAUGUAGAGUAAUACUGCGAAAUCUUUAUUUAUUGCACUAAGGUUGGCAUUAGAAUCGUGAGACAUGAGUUAUUAGAGGCGGUGCUAUAGAGGGAAUUGCAUUUUGAUAUAUAUAUCUCUUGCACUUCACACAACGAUAGGAUCGUAAGAGGAAAGAACAUAGCAUUAUGGCAGAAUGCAGAGACUUAUCGAUAGGGGAGUCCAAUAAACUAGGACUUGGAAAUUACCAUGUCUGGAGAAUAAAAAUGCAAGCUACAUUUUAAAGUAAAAAAUUUGGAGGAGGUUGUAGAAAGUGUAAUCUCAUCCACAUUCUUUCUUGUGAUACUACCCAGUGGGAGGCAUGUCACCGAAAAACAGUUAUGCGAUCCAAAAAUCACGGCUUGCAGGGCGCUUACUAUAUCCGUUAAAGACACAUUGGUUGACACUGUUGCCGAACAUGAGGAUCCUGCAACAGCAUGGGAAGCAUUACGAGCACUAUACCAGAAUGGAGAUCCAUCCAUGGUAUUAUUUGUAACAAACCAACUACAUCAAAUCAAGCUCUCAGAGGAAGGACUAAUGGAAGACUACCUCAACAAGGCACGAGAAUUAAAAAACCGACUGAUGGCACUAGGGGAGCUCGUGUCUGAUUGCACACUCGUACAAGCUGUAUUCAAUGGACUACCCCAAUCUUACGAAUACGUCAUAUCCAUAUUAACGCACAAUGCAUUGUUUCCAACCUUUGACAGGAUGAGUGCGAUGUUACUCACAGAACAUUACCGACUACAGCAUCGAAAAUUACACCUAUGCGAUGAAGAGGCUCUUUUGAUACAAUUCCAACAAGGAGCUCAACUCUCCACAUGAGGAGGAAGACACUCGUACAACUCAAGACGAGGUCGUGGAUCUUCACAUCACUCCUAUAAACUCAAACCAUCAGAAGCAGUACAACACAAAUGACAAACAGACUCAAGAUGCUUUGUCUACGGCAAGCCGAGUCACUACGUCCAAGACUGUCGAAAUCAAAAAGGAUCACAUGAACCUUGAUAUCGCUUUGCAAACCUGGUGGAGGAUGAAAACCAAACUGAAGAAUCCGAAAUUGAAACUACAGAUCGAGUACUAGAAGUAGCCUUUAUAGAACUCCAAAACAACCUAGACAAAGACUGUAGUUGGGGCAUGGAUUCAGGGGCAACAAAACAUGUUACUGGAUCCAAACAAUGUUUAAACUUCAUUGAAAAUAUGGAAAACAAAAACAAAUCACUAACCACUGUAGGAGGAGAGAAAUACAAGAUUGAAGGAAUAGGAGAUGGUUAUCUGUGUAUAAGAGAAGGGCAAAUAAAGUUGGAUGAUGUUUUCUACAUCCCGUCUUUGGAGCAAAAUCUGAUGUCAGUAGGGACACUGACAGACAAAGGUAACAUGGUUGUUUUCAUGAAAGAUAAAUGUUUUGUUCUCAACAAUUCACAUGACAGACUAAUAAUAGGCUCUUGCAGUAGAGAUAAUACAAAUGGCCUCUACAGAAUGGGAGAACAUACCAUCUACGACGUAAAUAAUAAAACACACAAGGAAAAGAUGAGUUUAUGGCAUCGCAAAUAUGGACACUUAAGCUAUUCAGGUCUACGUCAUCUUUAUCUAAAACAUAGAGUUGCUAACUUAUCAAAAAUAGAUUUUAUCAAAGAUACUUAUCAUGAUUGUCUAGAUGGUUGCCAAAAGAGAGAAAGUUUUUCUAUCAAAAGUACAUCAAGAGCUCAGCAUGUAUUAGAACUAGUCCAUUCAGAUGUAGUAGGGCCACUUCCUAAAGCAUCCCUAAGUGGUUCAAGAUAUUAUGUCAUAUUUACUAAUGAUCAUUCAAGGAAGAGUUGGCUUUACUUUCUAAAAGCAAAGGGACAAGUAUUUGAAAAAUUCAGAAUCUUUAGGGAGAGAACAGAAAAGGAAAUAGGGAAAGAACUCAAGAUUCUUAGAACUGAUAAAGGAGGAGACUUCUUGUCAAAAUAAUUCAAUGACAAUUGUGACUAGAACGGAAUUUGCAAACAACUUACGCAACCUAGAACUCCACAACAGAAUGGAGUUGCAGAAAGGCGAAAUUGAACAUCGGUGGAAAAAGCAAGAAGCAUGGUGUUUGAGGAAGGAAUACCCAGUUUUCUCAAGGCAGAAGUCAUAAACACAGCCAAUUAUCUUGUAAAUCACAGCCCUACACAAGCAAAUCAUGGAGUCACUCCUGAGCAAAGACAGUGUUUACCAUCACUGGACAACAACUGUGAAACCAGCAAAGACACCUGAUUUCAGCAAUGACUUGAUCCACGAAGGACCAUACUCCCCGGAUGAACAGCCGCACCUCACACCAUUUGAACCAACUUUGGACUUAGUAAAUCACGGCAGCAAAAAGUCAACAUCAAAUCAAAAUCAUGCACCACCAAGAGACAGUAACCCUGUUGGAACUCAUCUCUCCGCACAACAUCACAGGAAACUAAAAGGCAACAAAUUAUCAUCAGUAAACCAAUACCCAAUAAGAGACCGACGGCCCUCCACACAACUUAAGGAUCACCUCACCUUCACCACCGAAAUCAGUGACGAAGAGGAACUUGCAAAUUACAACGAAGCUAUCAUUAGCAAAACAUGGCGAAGAGCGAUUGCGGAAGAAGUAAGCUCCAUCCACAAAAAUGAAUCCAGGGAGGUAACGGAUCUACCCUACGGAAAACGACCCAUAAAGGCAAAAUGGAUUUUCUAAAUCAAAAGAAAUGCACAAGGAGAAAUCAUCAAACACAAAGCCCGCAUUAUUGCUCAAGGUUUUGAGCAGAUUGAAGGAGAGGAUUUUUAAGAGACUUUUGCCCCAGUAGUUCGCAGGAGCACAAUCCGCACAACCAUUGCUCUUCCCACACGGAAGAAAUGGAAACUCAAACAGUUUGACAUUAAGACCGCAUUCUUAAACGGAAAAAUAGAAGAGGAGGUGUAUAUGAAGAUGCCAGAUGGUUUCAGCGGCAAGGACUCAGCAGGGAAGGUCGCUCGGCUGAAACGUGCCAUGUAUGGGUUGCGCCAAGCACCUCGCAACUAGUAUAGCCGCAUAGAUGCUUACCUCACAAAAGAUCUAAAUCUGCAAAAAAAAAAAAACCUCCAAUCCAAACCUCUACUUUUCCAUCACAUACAGAAAAUACACAGUAGUUUUACUCUACGUAGACGACUUAAUUGUAACUGGUGACAAUCAAGAUGAAAUCGGCAAGAUGGAGAUUCUACUCAAAACAAAAUUUGAGAUGACCAGCUUAGGGAGGGCGGCACUGUACCUAGGAGCAGAGCUAACAUACAUAGACGAAGGAAUUUUCAUUCACCAACGCGGGUACCAGCUGAACCUUCUGAAAAAGUAUGAUAUCGAAAAGUGUAAUUUGCUCAAAUUUCCGAUGAAUCCGGGUGUUCACCUGCGAGCAGAGAUGGACUCACCUCUCACCAAUCUCAAGUUAUACCAAAGCAUGACCGACAGCCUAAUUUGGGCCACGAAUACAAGUCCUGACUUAUCACUCGCGGUCGAGUGCGUGAGCAAAUACCUCAUCCGACUCAAGAGGCUCACAUGAGAGCAGUAAGAAAUAUAUUCAUAUAUAUUAAAGGGACUCUGGACUACGCUCUAUUCUAUAAAUACGGAGACACAGGACCCUGACCUCCUGUGCAGACGCUGACUUUGCCAGAGAUGGAGACACUAGAAGAUCUACAUCAAGGAUUCUGCAUAAGCUCGGAGAUUCACCCGUAGAUUGGUGCAGCAAAAGACAGUUGAUGGUUGCCCUCUCCACAACAAAGGCCAAGUAUUGCGUCCUCACCGAGGCAGCUCGCGACAUCGUGCAUCUGCUUACUCACAGAACUGGAAAUAUGCGAAGAACCCACAUUGUUGCAAAAUGUUGCAAAGCGACAACCAAAGCUGUAUCAAGUUAGUUCGCAACCCAGUUCUUCAUGCACUCACAAAACACAUAGAACUCCAACAUCACUUUAUUCGGGAAAAAACAUUUGCUAGAGGCAUAGAAUUCAGCUAUGUCCCAGCAGCUUUACAACAAGCCGAUGUUCUCACGAAACCACUGAGUGCCUCCCAACACACUAGCCUUAUAGAGGACAUUGUUCUCCGACGUCUACCAUGCUAAUCUACACCAAUAUCCUGCUCCCUAUCUAAUCUCUACUGAGAAGCUCGACUCUGGUAACUAUUGGAAUUAAUCAAUCUGAUUAUUGUCAACUACAACAACUACAGAAGUCGCUUCCCUCUUGGACACAGUGAAGUUUUGCUACCUGCAAGCAAUUUAACUCGUAAGGGGAGAGACUUGCAAACGGAACCUUCUUCUUUUGGGCACGAAAUGGUCACAACAUUCGGAUCACACAAUCAACUCAGCAUUACCGGAUCCAACACACACAGAAUCUUCAGAGCUUGGAACAGGAACACACGUGUCUACCUUUCACAAUAAGUGAAAGGCAUUGCAGCCAGACAUUGUUAUUGAAAAGUACUUGUUUUCCUUGACAAGAUUGGCCUUGUAUGUGGUUCUUUCAGUUAAGUCUAGGUACAACUUCUCCAGGUCAGAAUAGUGCAGAAGGUCGUGUCCAAAAGAUAGUUAAAAAUGUGCAUCAAUUGUAAAUAGCGUUUGAUCGAACAGUCCUUCGCGUUUUUGAAAUGAAGAUUCACUCCAACGACUGUUCCAAAUAAUUCUUAAUCGACUCAUGGCGCUCACCUUCUAGAGACCAGAAAGACAACCUGACAUUGUCAUCACCUAAUAUUCUUGCUUCUUUCAUAAAGAUUCACUGCACUGGAGAAUGUCAAGUUGACAGUCUGCGCCUCCACGUUUCUCAAGAUAGAGUUGAAAAUCUCCGUGGUUGGUUUGUCCUAAUCAAUGAUCGUCCUCUACUGGCCUCUAUUGCGCUCAUCCAAAUGAUUACGGCAACCGUAAGGCACCAUGUUGCUCUAGAAUGCCGAACCACAAACAGGUAUUUCAUCUUCAGUGGAUUAAGAUCCCUUGCACGCAAAUUCCUUUCUGUCCCCGACCCAUAUACAUUCACGUAGUAUCCAGGGCGGUCCUGCGACUCUCUGACAACAGUGCUUUACUACAAUGUGCGACUCAUGCAGCACUUCGAGUAGUACCUUUUGAACUGAAAUUUCUCGAACUUCUUCAACAUGAAGUAGCCGCUAUCCGUAAAGGGUAUAAGAGUACUCUCUCUUGCAUGAUCAAUACAAACGAUGGUGUGCAGGAAUAACCUUCCAUGGAAUGCUUCAAGGGUUUGCGCUCAUCAUCUUAACGCGAUUCAUCAUCAGCUGUGUGUGGUUUAGUUGAAGCAUCUCUUGACAUUGUGGAGUGAUGACUACGACGCUGCCCUGGUUUCGUACUUUCAUAUGGGGCUGCUGGGGGUCAACGGCUUCGCAACGAUUGUGGCAAAUCGAUAUGAACAUCUGCUCUCCUUCUCUUCCGACUCAUUCUCGUCAACGCGUGCAUUGCCGUUUGAGCAUCUUGCAAGUGAGAUAGAUUUGCUUGAAGAUAGACGCACCAUCUGACUUUAUGCCGAGGUGACAGAAAAGCCGAUCGGAGGUGGCAGACAGUGUAGGCUCAGAUUGUAGCAGGUAUUUGCAUCUUCAUGUACUCUGCCACAGUGGGAACUUCCCCAGGCCAACUCGAACAAGCAUUCUCUCCAUCUUUUGGUCUGGUGACUUUGCGAUGAUGUAUAUGGUGCAAAUGACCAACAUUGCCCUAGUCGAACUAUUGAGAGUCGCACUAGGCUUCAUGAAACUGCAAGCCAUAGUUGUUCUUCAGCUCUACUUGACCUUAACCAAUAAUCCCAAUGCAAGCCUCACCCAGAAACCCAGCAACCACUUCUGUAAACCAAAGCCAAUCAUUGGAACUAUUGCUACGAACCCAACUUCAUCAGCAGCAUUAGUCUCAACUGCAAUUGCCUCUACAAUCCCGAAUAACAAUUGAACCUAACUCCGACAUCCGGCACUUCUGCUAUGAACCCAACUUCGACAACAAGGGCAGCCUAAACUGUCAUCGCCUUUACAGGCCUCAUAGUAACACAACUACGAACCUCAUUCUAAUAUCUCUGCAACUCCAGCUCCUGCAGUGUCACGUUGAGUAUCAGGACUGUAAAACUUACUAUACUGUUCGUACACAAUGUCCCAAUCUGUACCAAUUGAUUUGGCAAUUUGAAGCCACACCGACACAGAUUGCAUUAGAAUCAGCCUAACCCUCGUCAACGAUUUUAUAUUAUGACAAGGAUACACCGACAUCAGAAACAUUAUGAACAUGAAAACAAAAAUGACGCUGUAUGGCAUGAAAGUAUGCCUCAUCCAUUCACAGGAACAAACAAAAAUUGUACCACUGAUAUCAGUGAAGUAUGGCAAGCCUUUGACAGGGCCAUUAGUUUCAUGGAAAUUACAAUAUGAAAUUCAGCCUCGCGGUGUGUGGCACAUUUUAGAGCUAAAACGUAAUCCUUCACUCUAACGACGCUUACAAAUACACUGGAUUACCCAUAUUCGAAGACAAUUGCUGAACAUUCUUCCAAAAACACUCUGUAAAUUCACAUCCUCGUAACCCGGAGCAUUUAACAAGUUAAUAAUUUUUUAAAAAAUAAAACAAUGAGCUGCGUCUCGAAACACCUAGAAACGAUGUCAAAAGGAACCCAAGUCCUGAGAACUAAAAGGACGGACGAUCCUUCAACACAGACACACACCAGCUGACCUCACAACAACAAUCUCUAACCCAAUUCCCACAAAAUCCGCCAUCGCGCCAAUGGGCAGCUACUGAUCGUCGCUUCCAGGGGAAUCCCCAACCUCCAGAUCCUCGUUCUCCUUAUUCUCCUUCUCGUCCUUAACCUCGUCAUCGUCCACAUCGUACUUAGGGUCAAGAGACUUGUCGAUUGCCCUCCUGGCCGGUCUAAGCACGGGCGCCAUGGCAAUCUCGAAAGCCGCCCAUGUGAGCAGAAUCCCUGCCGCCGCAAUAAGCACCGUGCUCCACAAACCCCGACCUCUCUGGUGGCUCGCCAUAACUAACGUCGACCCAAAACUCUGCACAGAAACCUACAAACAAGACGAAAGCAAAACUCGCAAGAAACAACAAAAAGCAACGACAGCAAACUUGACGUCAAUCGUUGCUUGGGGGUCAAGGACAUGAAGGGAGACUUCGCAAAUUCGACGGCAAAUUCGCCCAGUGCUUGAUUACUUGUAAAUCGAUUUCCUGGCCACUUGUUCCUCGCGUCGCAUUUAUCCUCGCGUCGCCGCCACCGUGACUCCAGUGCCGCGGCAAAACCCCCCCCCCCCCC
rnacentral:lncRNA from 1 species